AUUUUUAAAUUUUAACUCAUAUUUUAAUUAAAAAAGUUGAAAAAAUAAAUUUAAUCCGAAUAAAUAUCCAUUCCGUCCAGAUACAACUUCCAAUCCGGCCUCCUAGGCCGGAUUGAAAAAAAGGGUGAUUGGGGGAUUUCCAUUCCACUCGGGAAUCGGAAUCGGAAUCGGAAUGGGACUCCCGCGUACCAAACACCCACAAACAGAUUCACCCAUUCCGUUUCCGAUUCCGAUUCCAUGGUGAAAAAGAAGCGAACCAAACACGCCCUAAGAGUAAUGUUAAUGGUUUAUGUUUAUAACUGUGGCUUUGGUUUAUGGUUUUAUAACAAAUAUUUUUUUAUCUCUCGUGGUACUUGAUUUCAAAGGCUAAGUUUCUAUAUUGGAAACACUUUUUAAAUAGUUUUUUUUAAUUUUAUCGUAUAUCCUAGGUUUUUAAAAAUAAAUUUUUUCGGUAGAAAACUCUUUCAAAGAAGAAAGUUUUUAGUGGUUGAUGUACUGUACAUUCGUAUCAACUUCGCUAAGUAUUGGUUAGCUUUAUGAGCAUCUACGUGUUAGGAUUCCUCGUUGAUGGUUGUAAAUGGAAUUAUUUUUUUUUUUUGAGAGAGAGAUAGGUAGCACGCUACCCGCUUUGUUUAUUUCAUUUAGAAAUAAACUUAGCUGAAAAUGUGAAUCAACUAGGAUUCGAACUUGGGUCUCGGGUACCAACCACCAAGCCCUUUGCCACUUGCUCUAGGGACAAUCAGUUAAAUGGAAUUGUUAGUUGUAGUAAUAUAAUAGGUGGUACGUCAUGCAAAUACAGAGAAGACUAUUCAUGUGGAUAGAAAAAUCUUUAUAUUUGUGGCGAGUUUGUCCAUCCCGCGGGCAAAAGUGUGUUUUUUUUAAAAAAAAUUGGGCACUUUUUCGCUGGCAUUACUUUUCAAAUUGGACCUUUUUAUGAAAAAGCUUUACAAAAGGGCUUCAGGACAUGACAUUCAACCCCUCGACUUGCAAACCUAUUGGGAUGUUGUGGAUGUGGCCUACCAGUGGAAAAGGGGCGAAUUAGUGAUACGAUUGGAGUGCGGGGCUUAUGAGAAAGGCACGGAGAAGAACCGGUCGUGGAAUGGUUUUGGGAGGCCAAUCGAGUUCAAAGCAGCCUCUGAAGCACCUGCACUUAUAGUCACAAUUGUACGGGUCUUGAUGCUUUUAAUUUUUUUAGCCCAUGGAUCUACAUUUUAGGCUGUUGAAUUUUUUAGCCCUUAAAUUUAUAUUUUUGAAAAUUGGAGUAAAGUCAACAAUAGUGAUUUCUUGUGAGACCCACUAUUGUACAUAAUUUAAGGAUUUUAUAGUUGAUCCAAUAGCCAAAAAGAUUAUAAUACAAACACCUUAGUAUGUGUGUGUGUGUGUAUAUAUAUAUAUUCAAAGGUAAGGAGAACAUUAUUUUAUGAAUUUCAAUUAUUAGAUUAAGAUUUUAAUUUUUAAAUUUUUUUUCUAGCUCUUCGUUUAGUAGUGGGGCUGACGGUCUAACUUACUGUUCGUGAAUUAACUUGCGUUUGACUCAGCCCUAGUUAUUGGUAUGUUUGGGUCCAGCCGUUGCCUUGAUGGGCCCGACCCGAUCCAUUAACAUCCCUCGAUAAUUAAGCAUUACUAGGGAUGUCAAUGGGUCAGAUUCGGGGCGAAUUUUUAAAAAUUCAAAUCCGAACUUGACUCAAAACUCGAACCUGACGGAUUUUAUAAAUCCAUAUCCAAAUCCAAAUCUGACAAAAAAUUCAAAAUCCGAACCCGAACCCGAAAUAAUUAUUUUUCUUUUCAAUAUUUCAAAAUAUAUUACAUUAAAUCUAAAAUUUUAAAAUAUAAAUUUAAAUAUAAUAUCAAUAUAUAUUAUAUUAUAUAUAAUAUAUUAUAGUAUAUAUAUACUAUAUAAUAUAUAUAAGUUUACUGAGUACGUGGGCUACUAAUAGGCCUCUUAUGAUUGAUAAUAACUGAAAUUUUUCAUUUAUUGAUUAAUACCCUUUAGUAUUGAACGAUGUUCUUGUGUGUAAAUAAUUUAAAGUGUACUCCGUCAAUUUCAGAGAAAACGAGUUAAAACGGAGAAGUUACGCGGAGCACGCUAAGUAAUAUAACUCGCGAUUUUCCGAGAGGCCGCGGAGUAGAGUGGGACCUUUCGACGUAUCGGACUCCGAAUAUAGCCUUCCAAUACUCGUUUCGAACCUCUUCGACUAAAUACUGAUACCAUUGGCGUUAUUGCGGACAAACUUGGGUUUGAUAGCACGGUUGUCGAGAAAAAGGGUUGUAAAUGGUUUUUACACAUAUGAUUCAUAACCAUAAUGUGGUUUUUGAUGGAACCAGCAGUGAGGGUGUGGUUUUUGUCGGCAAAAUCGAGACGCUUUUCAACGAAAUGAACAUGCUAAGAAUUCCGAAUGCCCAGUCGUGCUGAAUCGACGGCGCAUCCUUCAGAAUCCAGACGGACGAUCUUCGGGAAUUCGCAAAAGUCGCCAUGAAGGGCUAUUUGACAAAAGGAUGAAAUCGGCGAAGAAGGCCCAAUCUAUUUUAAGUGCGCGCGUUUGUGCGAAGUUUUUUUCGAAACAUCCGGAGGGAACUGGUCAGUGCAACGUAGCACCUCCAACUGGUAGGGAGCUGGGUUCGAAAUCCUGGUCAAUCAUCGGGGUUUUUCCGUAAGGUUUAACUCUAGCGGGCGUGACAUAAAAGGAAUAUUUAGGCGUUCCGAGGUGAAACCCUAACCUCUAAUCGAACCUCCCUGACCCAGACCACCCUACCGUCAGCCCAGCUGAGCCCCCUGCCCUGUCGGUGCGCCUAGCCCGGCCUGCCCGGCAUGUGCUGCUGUCCCCAGCCGAACCCUCUACUGCAGCCUUCCCGGACCACCCUCUCGGUCCUACCUUUUAUCCUCCGCUCCUUGCGCCGAGAGCAAUGUGGGUGUCUCCCACCUCUGAAGAAGCCCGGCCGUGAUCCACACUCCAGCGCGGCCGUAGUGCGUCUCCAGCUCGCGGGCAUCCCGGACAAGUUGCUCGGAGUGCCGCCUGGAUGCUGCGGCCUAGCUCGCGGGUCAACCAGGCGAUCCGGGCCAACCUCGUCUGCGGCGCCGCCACACCAUUUCUCUGGUCCUUUCUGUGCCGCCCUCUGAUAUGCAGCUCGCACUCGGCGACUCCGCAAGUUACUGCCGCGCGCGCAUCCCCCCGCCGCGGACCUUGCGCGAGCUUCGUCCGGCCGUCGCGGACUUCCUGUGCUGCUCUUCCAAGCAGCUGCGGCCGAGGUCGGCCCCCGCGAGCUUCUAUGACGCUUGGCCUGCGCAGCCCACGUAGGUUGCACAGCCCCCUCCCGACCUCCGGCGCCGAAUCGUCGCCUUUGUUCCCUGGCACUUCCGUUGCCGACUCUUCCUGCCGGCCGCCCGCGAGGUCCGCCGGGAACUUAGAACCCGAGAGGGAGUUUGGGACGUAGAUUCUAGCCGCCGCGCCACGGGUUGCCGCCCGCUCCCGGCCUUCUUAUCUAUCUUCUCCCCCGACCCCCCUGAACCGAGUGCUCCCUCCUUACCGCGCGAUCCCCACCUCCUGCCGCCUGCCUAGGAACCAGCCCUAGAUCAUUCCUUUCGGUCUGGUAAGGGCAUGUUUACGCUUCAAUGUUUUUCGAGUUCCAUUGUCUCUUUUUCGGGUGAUCACGAGAAGCCCUUCUAGAGUCUCGGAAGUGAGCACGUGAUACUAUCGCAACUCGUGCUGAACAUCGUCGCUUCACCUCCAACUACGCAGCAAUGAUGCGUACCUGGUUCUUGUGAGUUAUUCGGCGAUCUUCAGCGCUGUGCGGCGCAGUCUUAUCGUGAUUUUCACAUCGUCGUAUGUCCGCGCACCAGCAGUGCCGGCAGUGUCUCCAAGGUGAGCACGGCCUCACGACAUGCUGAAACCGCGGUGUCACGAAGACACGUCGAUUAAUCGACCCCCUGGUUUGUGCACAGUCCAGAAAAGCCAGAAUAUCACAUUGAAAAUGAUGCAAUUCAUGUAUCGUAUUCGGCUUUAUUGCUUUCUGGGCUUCGUUGUAGUGCUGUGGACUAUGAAACGUGUAAUAUAACUCAGGGUAACCUUCUGGACGAUCGUUCAAGGUAGAACUUCCGAAAAGUGAUUUCAUGAUGCGUUUUUUUCGCGAAAAUCUGCCGAUAGAUACGCGGUUUCGUUCGAAUUUCAAUCCACGGGCCUCGUGUCUGGUAUUAUGGCUUCGCUCUGAGACCCUUGGUGCUGUCACAGUCAUGUUUCUAAUCUCCUGGUCUCCGCCGUCGUUUUGAGGUUUCGAAACACGACGGAGAGCGACGAGAAAGUUCCGGUGCAGGUGUUCGGGACUUCCGCUAUUCGGUUAAUGCGGAUUUUGGGAAUCGGCUCGUUGUUUGGUUAGCAGGGUUGUGAGUUAGCUUCUCCAUGUCAUAGGGCUUAGACCUUAACCCGUGACUUUCGUAGGUUCGGUGCACCGCGUGUCACAGUUGAAGAGAGCCUUCGUCGGAUACAUACAGGUGGGUACUUAAGACACGACGUUCGUACAGUGGUGCACCUCGUCUGAAUGUUCCUUCACACCCUCUCCUAAUUCUCACAUUUGCUAUUCAUAAUACUUUGCUUAUCAUAUUUAUCCCUCAGGUUAUUACUCUAAUCGUUGUUUGCAGUGCUGCGGUAAUCAUUGUGUAAGAGUAGAAGAAAUUUCUUUCAGCAUAUGAAUAUACUGUGAUGCUGGUUGUUGGUUCUCUUGUUGUAUCAUAAGACCUGGUUGGUCGACUUUCAUACUCCCGUAUUUGUGACCUCGGUUGGUCGUAUUCUGGAUUACAUGAUGACCCAUGCGGUCGAUGGUUGACCACUGGGGGAAAGGCCCAGAUUGUCGCUCUGUUGACCGCGUGUGAGUGAGGCAUACUGCAUUUGAUCGCCGAUACUCGUCGCAUUCACGAAACCUGGCGGUCUAUCCAGUCCGGCAAGUGAUGUUGCAUUUUCCGGAAAAAGCUGGUUAAAUGGUCGACAACCUGAGCCCUAAACGGUUAAUACACUUGGAGAGUAAAGUAUGUCAUUGGCCUUAGGUUCUGCGUGCUGGCCAACGCCAAAGAGAGCAGUGGUUUCAGAUUGGUACUUUUGGAAUUGAUUUGUCAGGCCGUGUAUCGCAAUAACAUUACAGUAGUGUAGUGUGUUCAUUAUACUACAUUUCAGCACUUGUUUUAUCUUAGCUACUGUACUAUCUAAAUUAUCGUCUAUAUUGUGUUCUAUUCUUCCGUGACUUAGUGAUACCCCUCGCUCCCCUUCCCGCUUGCGGUACCCAACUGGACGGAGGAGAACAUGUUUACAUGUUCUCACCCCCCCUAACCCCAUACAGUACCGGUACAAGUGUCCGAGUGGGAACCAGCUGUGAAGGAGCGUGUUCUACCGUGUGAUAGAAGCUCCUUCCCGAGUCGUUAUUCCUUUUAUACCCCUUCAUGCUCGAAUAAAUACUUAGAAAUAUUAAUGGUUCAAAGUUUCUAUUUUAAUUAUCUGAUAUUAUCUGGUUUUUCAAUUGGUUUUGAAAAUUAACUAUAAGGAUUUUGAGUUUUUCAUUGAAAAUAAAACAGUUUUCUAACCCCUCGUGGUUAUCUGGUUUGAAAAGGAAUGGUCUCCCCAGAGUGUGGGGAUAGUUUUUUUUAAACAUUGCAUUUCUCCUGUGGUUUUAUGGAUUUAUAUUCAAAAUCAGUUUCCAGGUCAAGAAGACAUUUAAUCUGAUAGAAUGUAGAAUGUUAUUCAUAUUCAGUUUCAUAUCUGCGUGUGUGAAAAUGAAUGAUGAAUAGUUAUCUAUCUUGUUUGUUGCAUNNNNNNNNNNNNNNNNNNNNNNNNNNNNNNNNNNNNNNNNNNNNNNNNNNNNNNNNNNNNNNNNNNNNNNNNNNNNNNNNNNNNNNNNNNNNNNNNNNNNGGAUGUAACUCUUUCCACAUCUUUUAAACAUAGGAGUUUCUUUUUCUCCUUUUUUUUUUAUUUUUCAACAAUUUCAAACUCCCCCUAAAUUAGACAAUCUCACAGUUGAAAAUAAUUUUGACGAAUUUUAGUCAAUUAGAGAAUAUCCAUUCAUCAUAUCCAACACUCACAACCAAGAUGAAUUAAUCACCAAAAAUCAAAUUUGAUUUCAAAAUUUUGAUGAAUUUAUGCAAUAAGAAAUCAUAUAUUAAUUUAUCGUCAAAAUAAUAAAAAGUGGAGUAAAACCGAUAAUUAAUAUGAAUUUAACUUAAUAUGAUUGUGAAGUUAAAACCCGUUUAAACAAUCUUAAAAAAAAAAAUCUUUCAUCAAAAUAAUGAUUCUCAACCAUCUCUUUUCUCGAAAAUUUUGAAUUCCCAAACACCUUUCCUCAACAUGAUUUAUAAAUAAAAAAAAAUUCAAUGCACCAAAAAUCAUUCAACCAUGUAACGCAAUGAAUAAAAUUAUGCAACAAGCACCAAUCAAAGCAUUACACUAAAGAUCAAAAACAACUAAGACGAGAAGAAAGGAAAGAUAUCACCUUUCCGAAUCCAAACUUGUCGGAUCUUUGGUUUUCUCGGCUUGUCGACGUUUGGUGCCGUUUGCUUAGAUUUUNNNNNNNNNNNNNNNNNNNNNNNNNNNNNNNNNNNNNNNNNNNNNNNNNNNNNNNNNNNNNNNNNNNNNNNNNNNNNNNNNNNNNNNNNNNNNNNNNNNNNNNNNNNNNNNNNNNNNNNNNNNNNNNNNNNNNNNNNNNNNNNNNNNNNNNNNNNNNNNNNNNNNNNNNNNNNNNNNNNNNNNNNNNNNNNNNNNNNNNNNNNNNNNNNNNNNNNNNNNNNNNNNNNNNNNNNNNNNNNNNNNNNNNNNNNNNNNNNNNNNNNNNNNNNNNNNNNNNNNNNNNNNNNNNNNNNNNNNNNNNNNNNNNNNNNNNNNNNNNNNNNNNNNNNNNNCCAAGCUAUUUAGGUGACACUAUAGAAUACUCAAGCUUAUUCGUUUGACCCAAUCCGAGCAUAUGAUCUAGUUUCUUUGAUCCGGAAGAAAAUCGUUGAAUGUCGGAUUGAAGUUGACGAACUUGAUUGGUCAAAGACUUGUUGGAUGUGUACGAUUCCUCGAAUUGUUGCUCCAAAAAUCCAACCUUGUCUUUGUAUGAUUUGAUCAUUAAUUCCGCUUCAUUAAGCUUCUCUUGGAGGUCCGAAUUGUUCUUCAAGCUUGAAUCCCUUUCCUCCUUAAGAACCUUAUUCAAAGUCUUCAUGUUGUUGUUUUCCUCCUCAAGUUCCAACAAAUGACGUCUCAACUUCUUAUUGAGUUUAGCCAUCUUCUUUGAUUCAAUAAGAAGUUGAUUGUAUGCUUCCGCUAUGUCGUCGUCGUUUGAUUCCUCUUCACUUUCGCCAUUGUUGCUCGAUGAAUCAUAUGAAAAAAGAGAAAUAUUGGAGUUAAUAGCAAAAGAGGAUAAACACACAACAUUCGACGAAGGAGUAUUAGCAAAUAAGGCAAUUUGAUCAUUCUUUUCUUCGUCACUUGACGAUGAUUCACUUGAUGUUGAAUCAUCCCACGUCUUUGCUUGCAUAGCCUUUUGUCUAUACGUCUUCUUUGAAGGACAAUCCGUCGCAAUGUGGCCGUAGCCUUUGCACUUGAAACAUUGGAUCUCGCCUUCAAAUACAUCCUUUUCCUUUGAGGACUUUGCACGGUUUUUAUCCUUAGACUUUAAAGAUGAAGAUGAUUUAGACAAAGAUUGUCGCUUAGAUGAUGAAGCCUUGUCCAAUCUAUUCUUGUUCCGAAAAUUUUGACGAAACUUCUUCGUAAGAAGCGCCAAUUGUUGUUCAAAUUCCGCAAUUGAUAAAUCAUCGUCGGAACUCGAGUCUUCGUCCUUCUCCUUUGUAGAUUUCAAUGCAACACCUGUACUUUUAGAAGAAGACUUGGAAGAAGAUUGAUUAGUAGGAAAAGUCAUCUCAUAAGUUUGCAAAGCACCUACUAAUUCUUCGACUUUCAUCUCGUCCGGAUGCUUAACCGUUUCAAUUGCGGCAACCUUUGCCCGAAAGUGUUCCGGAAGAGUUCGAAGAAUCUUUCUAAUAACCUUAGAAUCCGGAAUUUUCUCUCCCAAGUUAGCACAUGUAUUCACAACGUCUUGUAGACGUGUAUAGUACUCGGUAAAGGUCUCGUUUUUAUCCAUGGAAAUAGAAUCAAAAUUGCUUGUUAGCAUUUGCAAUUUUUGGACCUUUACUAAGCUCGUUCCUUCAUGCGUAACUUGUAGAGUAUCCCAAAUUUUCUUUGCCGUUUCGCAAGCCGAAACACGAGUAAACUCCGUUUGAGACAUGCAUUAAAUAAAGCGUUUAUGCCCUUGCCGUUAAACGAAGAUGUCUCGUUUUCUUCUUUCGUCCAUUUGUUCCGUGGUUUUGGCUUUUCAACAUUAUCGACCUUUUCUAUCGGAUGUUUCCACCCAAAUUCAAUUGAUUGCCAAACCCGCUCAUCGAUAGCAAUUAGAAAAGCUCUCAUGCGAACUUUCCAAUAGGCAUAAUUCGUGCCGUCGAAGAGCGGAGGUCGAUUAAUGUUACCACCUUCGGCCAUUAGAUAACAAUUUAUCUAGAUCCCGCUCUGAUACCAAUUGAAAGUUUUGAGGAGCCCAAGGAUCUAUCUAGAUUGUAUCUAUCACCUAGAGGGGGGUGAAUAGGUGAACGGCCAAAAACCACAAAUCUCGAUGCAAUAAAAAUAAAUGCGGAAAAUAAAAAGCACACCGAGAUUUACGUGGGAAAACUCCAACUUGGAGAAAAACCCACGGGACCAACACGCGAAAAAAUAAUUCACUAAGAGAAAAGAUUACAAGGUGAUUACCGACUCCACGGACUCAACCUCUCUUAACCUCCUAUGAAUCUUCGCGCUACCCUCCGGGUUGUCCACGCCCUCACGUCCGAAUCCACGAACGCCUCCACUUCGAAUCCACGAAGCUUCAAUCACGCCGAAUCCACGACGCCACUCGAAUCCACGAGCCCACGAUCCGAAUCCACGAACCGCCGUCAAAUACGCCGAAUCCACGACGCCACCAUGAAGAAUAUCAUGAAUAUGGUGAUCCUUCGCUUUGGAGUAUUGUAGAAAACCAGGGAAUAGAACUCCAAGCGAAGCGGAGAUCAAAUCGACAUAUUAAUAUCAAAUUUCAAUAUCUCGAUUUGAUCUAAAAGAGGCUUUUUGUAGAAAAUAGGUUUUUGAUGAAAUCCGAGCCUCUAGGGUUUCUCAAAUAUGUAUUUUCGUGAUGCUUAAUCAGUUAGAGAACCCCUAUAGCUUAUUUAUAGACUUUAGAAUCAAAACAGAGUAGGAUUAGAAAGUUUCUUUCCAAAAUCAGCACCUUGUACCGGAACAAGGAAAGCUGUCCAGGGUACAGCAUGACGGAAGAUUUUUCUGCGAAGCUUCUGUACCCUGGAUAGGCUUCAGCUUGUUCCGAAACAGGGCUUGUACCGGUACAGCCAUGAUGGUUGUACCGGAACAACCAUCAACCACUCAGCGCAAACACUGAUGGCUGUACCCUGGACAGAAAACUCUUGUAACGGUACAACAAUGCAAUUUUCGCUGAAAAUGCAUUGCUUCGGGUUUUACAAGCUCUUAGAAACUUUCUAAUUAAUUACAACUUGAAAACAUGAUUCUAAGAUUUAUAAUUAAGUAUGAAUCACUAUAAACAAGAUUUAAAGCUUACCUAAUCAUCAUGAUUCAUGUUUUACGUGUUUUGCGUCCUUUUCGAUUCUUCGAAGUCUUGGAUUCUUCGAUCUUCAAUACGCUACUCCGGACUUCUUCAUGACUCCGACUCGACCCACGAAACUUGCCAACACAUAGGACCUAACAACGAGGAUUGCGAAGCCACCUGGGAACUCGAGGAUCUGAUGAGAAAACACCAUCCUCAUCUAUUCGAGGAGUAAGGUAUGAAUUUAAGUUAAAGUUAAGAAUUGAGUUAGUUUCGAGGAUGAAACUCCUUUUAAGGAGGGAAGGAUGUAAGGAAGUGAAUUCUCGAAAUCCGAGGAUUGUACUUCAUCCAGGAUCGACUAACUGUCAAGAGACUAACUGUCAAGAGAAUACCCAUUGUGGGAGUUAAAAAUGUCUAAAUCACAAAAAGUGUUUUGGAGUUGAGUCCGCGAGAGCAAAUAAGCAAAAAUUUGAACUUAGCAGAUUUUGCUCUCAGGGACCGGUCCCCGUAGCUGAGGGUCGCGAGGGAGGUCGACGCAACCGGUCCCUGGUUGAGGGGACCGGUCCCCGUGUGCUACACCCGCGAGAGGAAGCCUAAAUUUGGCUAAGUCCUGAAAGUUCCCCUUUCGAGAACCGGUCUCUCAGGAAAGACCGGUCUCCCAGGGAUCGGUCCCUCGGGUCAGGACUGGUUCCCGUACGCGAAAAGUCCCCAGGCUGCAAGGAGGGCUCUCGGGGACCGGUCUCCCCGACCAGGGACCGGUCCCUCUGGGCGAAAAUAGCCUAGUGACAGCUGCGUGAGAGAUGAAAAGUUGAGAGGUUUAAGUGCAAAAUGGCCAUCAUGUGAGGGGUGUAUAUGGGAAAUAACCCUCUCCCUCAGCCCUUCUCAUCUCAUUCCCUCUCUAUCUCUUUUUCUCUCUUGCUCUCUCUCUCUCUCUAGAAAAGAAAGGAGAAGAAGAAGAACAAGAAGGAGAUGAAGGAAAAGAAGAAGAAGAUAAGGAAGGAGAAGAAGAAGGAGAUCAAAAGGAAGGCUUUUGACACCUUCAUCUCCCUCUCCUUUUCUCUUUGGUGUAGCACAAGAGGUAAGCUCUUGAACCCUAGCUUCUAGAAUUUGGUGGGUUUUGGGUUUUUAUGCUUUGGAAUGGGUCAAAUGGACCCUAAGCAUGCUUCUAAGUAGAUCAAUCCCAUGAAUCUAGGGAUUUAUUGGUGGUUUGCUAUAGGUGUAAACCUAGGGCUCCAAAAUGGGGUUUUUAUGAAAGUAUGAGAUUGAUCUCAUUUGAAGCCUUGGAAACCCUAUUGUUAGGUCACAAAAUGUGGAGGCGAAGUCGGUUUUGGCAUUCGGCGAGCCGGCGUGAAGUUCUCGGCAAAAUAGGGCCGGGUUAGCAUUGAUUUGGGCAAGAAAGGCUAAAGCCUUUUCAUAAAGUUCCCCGAGAAGGAUUUCCGAAGCCUCUACAUCAAUUAAAGGUGGGGGGUGCCAUUCUGAAGCUUUCGAACUCCUUUCUAUGUCUUAGAUUGCAUUUAAUCUCAUCUCUUACAUGUUGCAUUGUAGGAUUGCAUAGUAGCUCCCUUCCUUAUGCUUUCUAAAUGAUAACCUAGUGUACUUGGAACGCUUGGUGACUUAGAUAGGUGAGGAUUGGGUCGGAACGUGGAUCUUAUGAUGCAAAAGAAAAGAGAUGUACCCGAUGGGGGUGUUGAUGACAUAGGAAGUAGUGUUAAUGUUAAAGAACAAACGAGUGGCAUCCAAAUGUUAAAUUAUGACGAGUGGCAUUAAUGUAGUGUAAGUAACACUAGAGGUUUGAGGACCUAGGGAUGGAUGGAUCCCUUAGAAAAUGCCUUGUGGAUAAAGAACUUAAUAAACCUAAGUGUCCUCACGUGGAGAGGUUGUCGAUGAGUCGAUUGAGACAUUGACCCUAGUUGUAGGGCAUCCUCACUUGGAGAGGAUUUGAUUGGGUUGUGGACCCUAGUUUAUAGUGCUUCCUCACUUGGAGAGGAUUUGAUUGGGUUGUGGACCCUAGAGGUAGGGCAUCCUCGAUAGAUCUAGCCACAGUCUGCGUUUGGGGUGGUAUAGCCAUCCAAUCCCCACAUGGAGGGGAUUGUCGUCGAGUACUCCGGAGUGUCGCGCGACUAGGACCACUUGGAGGUCCAGACCACAUGGAGGUCCACAGACGGUCCCGGGCUUGGGUGCACUUGGAGCUCCCUCCCCACUUUGGAAUUGAAGGGUGAGUUAUAGGCGAGCCCUAGGGCCUCGCCACAGAUUGGAUAAAUGGAAGGUUAAAGGUUUAACAAUGUCAUUGAACAUUACUAUUCGAAUAUGGAUCGAAUUUGUUAGCAUGGUAGCAAACCUUUAUUAUAUGAUGCAUGCAUUCAUAUUCAAGAUUAUGGGCAUAGUAGCAUAGUUUUCCUAUUAUCGCAUUUAUAAUUUUCAGAUACAUAUCUAUCUAUCUAUCUGUUGUUACUUGUGCCCACUUGGACCUAGUGGGGAGAUCGGUAAAGUCGGCGGCCGAGCCCACUGGGAACUUGUAGCACACUCGACCUUUGCAAAUUGCGAGGUUCGAGUGAUUGGAUGUGUUUCGAGCUUUUCCACACUUGGUGGAGGGUUGUAGAAUGCUUUUCCGACCAAAAAAGUUUGAAAACCUGAGUUCUGGAUGAGUCCUGAGAGUUUAUACUCUCGGGGACAGGUCCCUGGAAGGAGAGACCGGUCCCUCAGUGAGCAGUGUUACGGCAGCCCUGAGGCAACCGUUCCCUGGCAGGCGAGACCGGUCCUCGGCAGGCGAGACCGGUCCCCGAGCGCACCUUCACAGUGAGAGACCGGUCCCGCGCAGGGAGAGACCGGUUCCCGAACGUUGGUUUUUCGGGUUCGCGGCCAGAGACCUGUCCCUGCUGGGCAAAGACCGGUCCCUCUAGGCAAAAACUGCCCAGUUUGGGCUGAUGCAAUUUUAGAUUUUUGAGGGACCUAGCUGGAUUUUGUUACAUUAGAGGGUCUAUAUGAACCAUCCCCUCUCUCUUCUUCUCAUUUCCCUCCUCACACUCUCCCCACACCCUUAUUAGAGAGAGAAGGAGAAAGAGAAGAAGAAGGAGGAGAAGAAGAAGAAUGAGAAGGUUUUGGUGGACUUGGAGCAUUUCUUUGCCUCUCUUCCUCUUCCCACCUUGUUGGUGCUUGAAGGCUUGGACUUGGAGCUUGCAUAGGAGGAGAUCUUCACCCUUUGAGCUUGGAUUGAAGCUUCUUAGAGGUUGGUAGCCCUUUCUCUCCAUCUAGACUUUGGAUUUGAGGCUUUCUUUGUGUUGGAACCCUAGAAUGAGGUUUAGGGUUGAUUUUGGGGCUUUUUGAUCUAGGGCUUUUGAGGCUUACGAUUGUUGUUUAGAACGCUUCCUUGGCUUGGUUGAAGGGUGCUAGCUUCUCUUUUGGAGGCUUUGGAAGAGAUUUCUUCUCUUGAGGUGAGUUUUGCCUUUUUGCUUCUCUAGGUUAAGUUGAUCUUAUGUUUGUCGUUAUGCCCCUCGUAAUCCUUCGCUGAUCACUUUUAGGGUACUUUAAGAUCGUGGACAACCCGUCGGCAAAUCGAAGGGGCACCGCGACGGUUGUCGGUGGUGUUUCGACUGCCUAAUGAUUGAGAAAUGCUCCAUAUUUGGCAAAAAUAUGUUUCGUAAAAAAUUUUAAAGUAACAAAUUCCAUGGACAUUUCCAUGUUAAUGUAUUUAAUAUGAAUUUUAGAAUGCUUACAUAGCAUAUUUAUGUAUAGUGAAAUUUAUAGACGGCCCUAUGUUGCUAGUGCAUGCUACUGAGGAACUUAGCAUUCGUUAUUUUAGGACCAUGAUCCUUAUUAUGUAAAUGAAACUUGCUUUCCAUUCAUUUAACUACUAAUUGCAUAUUGUGACAUUAGAAAUGUUAGAAGGCCCUAGAGAUGGGCUUGAGACUUGGACUAUUGAGAAUUGGACAAUGUGAUAAAGAGCUUGGCCCGGGUCAUGGUAUCAUUGGGUUUGAUGUUUUAAGUGGAAACAUAGAACAAGAUUUGGGCUGAUCUGUUGUUGAUACUAAGUGGUCAUAAAGAGAGCACUAAGCAAGUGAGUGUUGGGACAUCACUUAGAGCAUUGGACAGAUCCUUGGCGAUCUAGUGACCUUGCAUGUUAGAGACAUGGGAUAGGAGUAUUUGAGACAGUGACCUUGCUGUUUGCCAUUGUGUGCUCAUUCGCAUCUAUGUUGUGUGGUCGUCUACGCUACAAGCGGCACCGGAGUUAGCCUACGCGACUUAUGUCGCUUGUGAUGUUUUGUAGAGAACCUACGGCGGUCGAGGGGGACAGACACAUUCAAGAGUAGGAAUGUUGGGCUACCGAGCACUAAGCGGCACAAGCUGGACUACUUUGGUAGUCCUUAUUGAAAAUGGAAUCGACACGGUGGUGAGUUUAUUAUGAUCAUACUAACAGAGAGUAGUAGUAAGGAUUACUUGGCUUCGCUUCAGAUUAGUUUGUGACAUUUGGCGUAUUCAUACUACAUGUAGUAUGCCCUAGGAGAUGUUUGUUUAUUGAUCCUUUAUGGCAUUGUAGUUAAUGACAAAAGUAUCAUUUCUAUCUAUAUAGUAGAAAUUCAUGAAUAUUACUUGUGAAGCAUAGAUAUAUUAUCCAUGGACAAGAUAAAGUCGCUAUUAUUAAAUGCCCUGUUUAAUUGAAUGCAGCUUAGAAUCUUAAUUAUGCCUUUCUUGUAUGCAAUUUACUGUUUACUAUUAUGUUAGACUUUACCCUUUCUUUGGGGGCCUAGUGUGGCAUUGAGUGAAGGUCAGUAAUUUGCACCCUGGGGAACUAUAAAUUAGAGUUCUACGCCCUCUUUUCUCAAUAUUUUUUCAGGCCCUUCAGGCAGACGGUGAGCAGUAUCGCGGGAAGGGAUGUUGUGCUUCCGAGCUAAGCUUCGUUCGAGGACCAGAGUUGAUAGGUGGUUACGUCUACCUUCUCGAUAGAUAUUUUAUUUUGCCAGAGGUUGAGGUUUACAUGUACUAGAGACCAACCAUUUUUGUACUUUUUGAUAUGAUAUGUACUAUUAUGGUUUCUUUUAUUGUCUAAGUUAUAUUUCUUUUACUACUGGUUUAAGAUGAUAGAACCUCUUAUUCGUCUUGAACCAAAUUAAUCUGUCACGUCCGGGACGCGGCGGGCCUCCGGUGGCGUGCCCAAGCACCCGCAUAUGUCUACACAUAUGGAAGCGCUACAACAAAGCGGAAGUAAAAGAAGCAAAUAGAAGAACUGAUAAUAACAAUUGCUAAUUCUCCGUCGAUUUUCGAACUUAGCGCAUCACACCAAACGUUAGCCUUUGGCCGGCGGUGGUAAUGAAUGUUGUGAGUUGUCGUGGUUUGUGCUAGAAUGUUCUUAUUGCAACAGGUGAAGGCGGAGACCGGAGUUCCUAGGCGGGGAAUUUACAGAGCCUACUUGUCUAUUCAAUGUGGAAAUGGGAAAGAUACAUGGAUUUGUGAUGGGAUUUGCCUCGCUUCACAGGUGCGCGGGCGUGAACUAUUUGGUGAUUGUGAGUAGAUUUACGGAAAUGGCCACAUUUAUACCUAUUCCACACUCUUGGACGGGUGAAAGACUCGCACAGGUUAUAUUGGACGAGAUUGUGGGCGAUUACACGGGUAACGUACUUCGUAUAGUAUCGGACGAGACCCCAUUUUGUAUCCAUUUUUGAGGAGCUUACAGGUGUUUGGUGACGCUUGGAUUCAGCAUCUGCUUUCCACUCCAGAGUGACAGGCCAGUCGGAGGUACGAUACAGAGAUUCGAGGACAUGUUCAGCUUGCGUGAAUUGCUUCCAAGAAGGAUGGUCGCAGCAUCUCGAUGGCAGAGUUUGCUUUAUCAUAACACAGUUUCAAGCAAGUAUCAGAUGCACCGUUCGAGCGCGACUCUUUGGACGGAAGUUGGUAUAGAUCGCCACUUCAUUGGCAGUGAAGUUGGACGAGAGUGUUAACUUAGGCCCAGAUGUGCUCCAGGAGGCAGAGGACAAGAUGCGCAGUUGCUGGAGCGAUUAGUUAAGCCCAGAGUAGGCAGAGGCAGUUAUGGCUGCCCGGCGUCGACGAAUUGGAGUUUCGAUUGGAGACGCAUGUGUUCUUGAAGUACUCGCGCCAAAAGGUUAGAAGAUUUGGAAUCGGGCAAGUUGAGCCCCCGAUACCAUUGGACGUGUGAUGAGUUUUGGAGCGUGUAGCCCGGUCUAGCGUUCGACUCGCUUCUACCGCCAACCUAUCGGUGUACACAAUGUGUUUCAUGUAUCGUCUUCGAAGUACUCACGCGCGCUCAUGUCUUUGGACCCUGACGCCUUUGAGUGAGGGAGGACUUGAGCUUGUAGGAGCAACUUUGCGGAUUUGCUCGCGAAGUAUCGAGAUUGCCCCGUACGGUGAGAUUCUCUUACAUGAAGGUGGCUUUGGAGCAACCUCCUACGACGACGCGAGGUCACUUGAGGAGCUGGAAGCGCACUGAGGGAGCGGCUAUCACCCAUCUUUUUCCUGACAUGGAGACUUGAGCGUACUUGUCAUUUAUUCGAGUUUCCGCGGACAGAAACUCCUUUUUAGGAGGGGUGAAUGUACACACUGGACCUUUGCAAAUUGCGAGGUUCGAGUGAUUGGAUGUGUUUCGAGCUUUUCCACACUUGGUGGAGGGUUGUAGAAUGCUUUUCCGACCUAAAAAGUUCGAAAACCUGAGUUCUGGAUGAGUCCUGAGAGUUUUUACUCUCGGGGAUUGGUCCCUGGAAGGAGAGACCGGUCCCGCAGUGAGCAAUGUUGCGGCAGCCCUGAGGCAACCGGUCCCUGGCAGGCGAGACCGAUCCCCGAGCGCGCCUUCGCAGUGAGAGACCGGUCCCGCGCAAGGAGAGACCGGUUCCCGAACGUUGGUUUUUCGGGUUCGCAGCCAGAGACCGGUCCCUACUGGGGAGAGACCGGUCCUUCUAGGAGAAAACUGCCCAGUUCGGGCUGAUGCAAUUUUAGAUUUAUGAGGGACCUAGCUGGAUUUUGUUACAUUAGAGGGUCUACAUGACCCAUCCCCUCUCUCUUCUUCUCAUUUCCCUCCUCACACUCUCCCCACACCCUUGUUAGAGAGAGAAGGAGAAAGAGAAGAAGAAGGAGGAGAAGAAGAAGAAUGAGAAGGUUUUGGUGGACUUGGAGCAUUUCUUUGCCUCUCUUCCUCUUCCCACCUUGUUGGUGCUUAAAGGCUUGGACUUGGAGCUUGCAUAAGAGGAGAUCUUCACCCUUUGAGCUUGGAUUGAAGCUUCUUAGAGGUUGGUAGCCCUUUCUCUCCAUCUAGACUUUGGAUUUAAGGCUUUCUUUGUGUUGGAACCCUAGAAUGAGGUUUAGGGUUGAUUUUGAGGCUUUUUGAUCUAGGGCUUUUGAGGCUAGAUUGGUUGGUUUAGAACCUUCCUUGGGCUUGGUUUGGAAGGGUGCUAGCUCUCUUUUGGAGCUUUGGAAGAGAUUUCUUCUCUUGAGGUGAGUUUUGGCCCUUUUUGCUUCUAGGUUAAUGUUUGAUCUUAUGGUUGGUCGUAAUGCCCUCGUAUCUCUUCGCUGAUCACUUUUAGGGUACUUUAAGACUCGUGGACAACUCCGUUCGGCAAAUCGAAGGAGCACGCGACGGUUCGGUGGGUUUGACCUAGCCUAUGAUAUGAGAAAUGCUCAUAUUUGGCAAAAUAUGUUUCGUAAAAUAGAAAUUCAUGCAUUUCCAUGUUAAAUGUAUUUAAUAUGAAUUUUAGAAUGCUUAACAUGCAUAUAUUAUGUAUAGUGAAAUUUUAGACCCCUAUGUGGUAGAGUGCAUGCAUGUGAGACUUAGCAUUCUAUUUAUGAUUGGGAACCAUGAUCCUUAUUAUGUAAAUGAACCUUGCUUUCAUGUAUUUAACCUAUAUGCCAAUUGUGACAUUAGGAAUGUUAGAAGCCUAGAGAGGGCUUGAGAACUUGGACUAUUUGAGAAUUGGGACAAUGUCAUAAAGAGGCAUUGGGCCCGGGUCAUGGUAAUCAUUGGUAUUAAUGUUUUAAUUGAAACAUAGAACAAGAUUUGGGCUCGAUCUGUUGUGAUGCUUAAGUGUCAUAAAGAGGCACUAAGCAAGUGAGUGUUGGGACAUCACUUAGAGACAUUGGGCUAGAUCCUUGGGAUGCUAGUGACCUUGCCAUGUUAGAGACAUGCGGAUAGAGUAUUUGAGACAGUGACCUUGCUUGUUUGCCAUUUGUGCUCAUUCGCACAUGCUUGUGUGGGUCGCUCCCUACAAGCCGGCACUCCGGAGUUAGCCUACGCGACUUAUGUACGCUUGUGCUGUAUUGAGAAGCCUACGGGGUCGAGUGGGACAGACACAUUCCAAGAGUAGGAAUGUUGGGCUACCACAGGCACUUAGGCGGCACAAGCUGGACUACCUUUGGUAGGUCCUUAAUUGAAAAUGGAAAUCGACACGGUGGUGAGUUUAUUAUGAUCACUACUAGACAGAGAGUAGUAGUAGGAUUACUUGGACUUACUUCUAGCAUAGUUGUGGACAUUUGGGUAUUCAUACAUACAUGUAGUAUGCUAGGAGAUGUUGUUUAUUGCAUCCUUAUAUGCAUUGUAGUAAUGACAAAGUAUCACUUUCAUAUCUAUAUAAAGUAAAUCAUGAUAUUACUUGUGAACAUAUAGAUAUAUAUUAUCCAUGACAAGAUAAAGUCGCAUUAUAAAUGCCAUGUUUAAUUGCAAGUCGUAGCUUAGCAUCUUAAUUAUGCUUUCUUGUAUGCAAUUUACUCGUUACUAUUAUUGUUAGACUUACCCUUUCUUUUGGGGCCUAGUGGUACAUUGAGCUGAGGUCAGUAAUUGCCCACUGGGAACUAUAAAUUAGAGUUCUCACGCCCUCUUUUUCUCAAUAUUUUUUAGAGCCUUCCACGCAGGGUGAGGCCAGGGAUCGCGGGAAAGGAGUUGCUUCGAGCUAGCUUCCUUCGAGGACGAGUUGCUAGGUGGUCUACCUCUCGAUAGAUAUUUUUAUUUUGCGAGAGGUUGAGGGUUUUACCAGUGUACUAGAGACCACCAUUUUUGUACUUUUGAGAUUGAUAGUGUACUACUUAUGGUUUCUUUUCUUGUCUAGUUAUAUUUCUUUUACUCUGGUUUAGAUGAUAGAACCUUACUCGCUCUGAUAUCGUUAGUUGUUAUUAUUCUAUUCGUUCUAUUUCUUGCUUUUACUUCCGUUUUGUUGUAGACGCCUUAUAUGUGUAGACAUAUGGCGGGUCUGGGCAUGCCACCGGGAGGGCCUCCGCCGGUCCCGGGGCGUGACAGAACUUUGGAAGAUAGUUCUCACCCAACUCUAUUUCUAGUGGUAGGUACAAGGCUGCCGAGGGAGGACCGUGGCAAGGGCAUCGCGCCCGAUCAGUGAGACCGUGGUAGUAUAGUAGCUUUUCUUUUUGCAUUAGUAUACCUAUGUAUUGAGAGAGAUUCAUUGUAGGUGAGGACUUGGAGAGCUAUGCAUUUUGAGAGGAAAAAUGUACUCAUUCAAAGGUUAAAUGAUGUAAAUACAAAUGAUGAAAUUAUUGUAAUAGUUAGUAAAGUACUCUCUUUAUUUCACAUGCUUUAUCUUGUGGAUUACUUGCUCUUUGUAUUGUUGGCACUGUUUGUGCCCUUGUGAAUGUGUAUGUUUAGAAUUUGAUUUUCUUGGUAAAUUCUUGUACACAUUCUUGUUGUUGAGCCUUGGGCGGACAGGGGAGGUGCUGUCCAUUCGGCAAUCCGCCGCCGCGGCCGAACCGUGCCAAAUGGGUAGUAGUUUCGGGGCGGGGCGUGACAGUUGUUGCUUUUGAGUUUCGCGGACGAAACUCCUUUUUAGGAGGGGUGAAUGUAACACGCUGGACCUAUGCAAAUUGCGAGGUUCGAGUGUUUGAUAUGGAUUCCGAACUUUUCCAUACUUGGUGAAAGGUCGUAGAUAGAAUUCCAGCCUAAAAGUUCGAUUUCUGAAAUUUUGGCUAAGCCCUGAGAGUUUUCACUCUCGGCGACCGGUCCCAGGUAGGAGAGACCGGUCCCCUCAGAAUAGUGUUACGGCAGUCUGCGAGGCAAACGGUCCCUGGCGGAUGAGACCGGUCCCCGAGCGCAUUUUCGCGGGGAGAGACUGGUCCCAUACGGGGAGAGACCGGUUCCCGAGAGCAGGUUUUGCGGGAUGGACCUGAGAGACCGGUCCCAGGCAGGGAGAGACCGGUCCCUCAGCCCGAAAACUGCCCAGUCAGGGUAGUGCACAGGUUGCAUUGUUGAGGGGCCUAAGUGGACUUUGUUGCUUGAGAGGGCUUAUAGGACAUUUCCUCUCCCUCUCACCCUCAUUUCUCUCCCUCACCUCUCUACACUCUCUAGAAAGAAAAGAAGAAGGAGAAGAAGGAGUAGAAGGAGAGCAAGCUUGGAGGCCUUGGAGCAUCUCCCUCUCCCUAGUUUCUCACCUUUGGUGGCUUGGAGCUUGUGGUUGGAGCUUUGUGGAGGAUCAAUCUUCAACCCUUGAGGAUUUUGAGCUUGGUUUGGAGCAUCCUAGAGGUAAGUGGCUAGUUUUCUUCCUCUAGAUCCUAGUUUUAGUGGAUUUUGGGAGAUAAAACUCUAGAUUUGAAUUUUAGGGUUUAUUUUAGGGAUUUUUAAUUUGAGGGCUUUGGGACCCAAUUGAUUGGUUUAGAACCUUCCUCUAGAUUGGUUUGGAAGGGUUCUUGCUCUCUUUAGAAGCUUGAGAAGGGAUUUCUACACAAGAGGUGAGUUAUGCCCUCUAUACCUAGAUGGUUAAAGAUUGAGCUUAGUAUUAUUCGUAAGGUCCAUUUGACUCUUGUUCCUACAUCUUUAGGGUGCUAGGAGACUAGUGGGCAUCUUCGUCGGAGCACACGAAAGGUUUCGUGAAGUCGCGGUGGGUUUGGCUUCAUUGGAAUAGGAGAAAACUUCUCCUAAGUGGUUCAAUAUCUUCGUUUCAUCGCAUCGCAUAUAUAUUCAUGCUAGAUAGAAUUUAUGUGAAUUUUAGAAUGCUUAAAAUGCACGUGUUAUGUAUUAUGAAAAUUCAUCUUUAUAUAGUAGAGCCUUAUGUGGACUUAACAUGCAUGUGAAUAGCAUUCUUCUUGUGGUUUGAAAACAUGUCUCAUAUGACGAAAAUGACUUGAAUUAUGUAUUCUUGAACACUAAACUCAUGAUUGGACUUAGUGGACGAAAGUGCCAUAAAGGGGCACUUGAACUAGUAAACUGUGAAACUGCAACAUAGAGGCAUGGAAAUAGGCCAUUGUGACAUCGACUAUAUUCCGUGUUUUAGACACGAUGACAUAGUGAUAAGCCAUUGAGACAUAGGUUAUAUUCCAUAUUUUAGACAUGAUGACUUGAGACUUGAGACAGAUUUUACGCUUGCUUGCCCUUGUGCUCAUUCGCACAUGCUUGUGAGGGUCGCUCCCUACAAACCGGCACUCCGGAGAUAGCCAUCGCGACAUAUGCUCGCCCGUGCGGGAUUCGGCGCCUAAAUGGAUUGCCGUGGGGGGGGCUCGUUCCUAGAGUGGGAAUGUUGACUACCACGGGGCCAUUAGGCACGGCACAAGCCAGACAGCCUACGGGUGGGUCUUACAAGAUUGCAACUAUAAGUAGUUGGUAUGCCAAAUGGACUUGAACUAGAAUAGUAAACAAUGACAUCUUACUAUUUUCGUUGUGGACAUUAUGUUGGUUGCAUACUCAUGCGUAUUCAUGUUAGCAUAGCUUUCUUACUUAUGCAAAUCAUGCUAAGUAGAGACAUCAUCUUAUAGCCAGCAUUCAUGUUUAGUUACUUGCUGUUCAUUUCAAUAUUUACUCACUUCUACUUACUUGCCUUGUUUUGGGCCUAGUGGUGCUUUUCACUGAAGUCAGUAAUUGCCCACUGGAAACUAUUAUUUAAUAGUUCUCACGCCUCCUGUUUUAUGGUUUUAUUUCAGAGCCUUCGGCACCGGCGGAGGCACGGAUUCGCGGCAAGGGAGUCGCAUAGCUAGAUAGCAGAGCUUGCUGUUGCUCCUAGGUGGUCACUCUCUUCUUUUUGGUUUUGUGAGAGAGAGAGUUUUGUUACCAUGUAUAGAGACUACCCAUAUUUUUAUGUUUAGCAUUUGUAUUUGGGAUUCUUCUUGUACUACUUCAUGCUUUUAUCUAGUGGACUUUCAGUUUUAUGUUGAUUUCUUUUAUUGUUGCUCAUAAGAUACACUUUGCUCUGAUACAGCUAGAUGUUUUCUCUCUUCUUGCCGUAUUUAUCAUUUUGUUUUAGACGCCUUAUAUGUUUUAGACAUAUGGCGGGUCUGGGCAUGCGCUGGGCGGGCUUCCACUGGGUCCCGGGGCGUGACAGAGUGGUUGUGUCGGCGGCCGACGACAUGACGCUAAGAGCCUGGAAUGAGAACGCAUGUGUACUUCCGCCCGAUUUUAUUGUCAAGCUAUUUCGUUUCGUAAUUGCGACGGCAUUAACGGGUUAAAUAAUUAACCAAAUGUUUGCGUUUCAGGAGCUAAUGGCACCGAAGAGACGCUAUGUUCGUAGGACCGCUCCGGCACCCCCUCCUGAGGUGCCAGAGCCAGCCGUGCCUCCUGUGGCGCCAGAGUUGGCUGGGCCUAGUGAGGUGCAGGAGUUGCGAGCACAAGUUGCCACACUAGCUGGACGGUUCGAUCGGCUCCAGGGGUUAUUGGAGCAGCAAGCAGCGGCGGCGGCCGCGGCAGCAGGUCAAGGUCGUGAUCCGCCCGCGCCUUCGGCUUACGCUCCUGAUGCGGCAGAGGGUGAGGGUGCUACGGCGGCACCGGUGGAAGUGCAACCCGCGCCGGUGGACAUCCCUCCUACGGCGUCGAGUUCUCCUACGCCCAAUGUGGCGACUGAGGAGGUAGAGCGAGAGCGUGGUUACAUGGCUCUCACAAGGUUUACGAAGUUCUAACCGCCCACGUUUAAUGGAGAAGUGAUCCACCCGCCCACGUUUGAUAGAGAAGUGAUUGAUCCUUGGACAGUGGAGACUUGGUUGGCCACGAUGGAGACCCUGUUCGAGGACAUAUACACUCAGGAGCAGGAUAAGGUGAAUUUGGCCGCGCAUUGCUUCGAUAAGCGGGCCAGGGUGUGGUGGAAGAGAGUAAAGCAAGAUCAAUCUCCGGAUCUUCCCCCGAUCAAUUGGGAGGAAUUCCGAAGAUUAAUGUUUGCGGAGUACUUCCCCGACAGCAAUAGGAGGAAGAUGAGGGAGGACUUCAGAAAGCUUAAGCAGGGUAAUCGCACGGUUCGGGAGUAUGAGCGGGAGUUCACCUAUCUCCUGAAUACGUCCCGGACGUGGCGAGGAUGGAGCAAGAUCGGGCUGAUUACUUUGUAAGGGGACUCCGACCCUGAGUGUUUCGGUUGGUUCAUGCCUUCAAGUUUCACACUUUUGCGGAGGUUUUAGACUGCGCUUUGUGGGUUGAGCACGGGAAUGCUUGCGAGCGAGAGGAUCGCGAGGCGUUCGAAAAGGAGAAGGGAAAGAAGUGACUUCGUGGUGGUUCGGGGGGACAGUCGAGUUCCAGGAGGCCCCCGAAGUAUCCACGAUCUCAGUCUAAGGGCCGUGGAGCGCAAUGGUGUAUCUUUUGUGGCGAAGAUCAUCGAGCUGGAGUGUGCGAGCAGAGGCGUGGGAGGUGCUUCAAAUAUGGGCAAGCGGGACACAUUGCACGAGAAUGCUCCGCUGGUGAGGUUUCCCCCGCCCCGUCUGUCGCGUUAGCUCUGGCGAUCCCGACCCGCUAUGGGGUUCCACCUGCUGCGACUUCCGCGGAGCGCGCGUUAGCGCCAUGCCAACCUGAACCGGCACGAUCCGCUCCGAGCGGAUUGAUGUUUGCCGCUUAUGUUCAAGCCGAGAAGCCUGCUGAGGCGGAGGAGCAUCGCUUUGUGGCAGGUAUGGUUUUGAUUAACGGAGUUCGCUCUAGGGCUAUGUUUGAUACAGGUGCCCCACAUUCAUUCAUCAGUAGAUCAUUUGCACGCAUGCAUAACAUACUAAUAGAGGCGAGUGACGGAAAGUGGCGAGUAGAGGACCCUGGGCCGGCAUUUAACACCUAUACAGAGUGUUCAUCGUGCCCAGUGCAAAUAGGCGACUGGAUAAUGCCUAUCCGGAUGCUGGAACUCAAGAAAUUGGAGGAGUUCGACAUCAUUUUGGGCAUGGACUGGCUCUCGAAGUAUUAUGCAACGAUCGAUUGUAAGAGUAGAAUGAUCACAUUUCGAGAGCCAGGAUAGAAGGAGUUCGUCUAUCGGGCCUGUCAAAGCUCGUGCUUCGCCGCGACAGUAUCGGCGACGAGGGCUAGGAAGUUGGUUAACAGCGAUUGCCCAGCAUUUUUGGCGACUAUUGUGGAAGUGGACCGAGUGGCUCCAGCUUUAGAGGAGCUGUUAGUCAUGCGGGAAUUUCCAGAUGUAUUUUCCGCGGAGUUACCAGGAAUGCCACCGGACCGGGAGAUCGAGUUCAUGAUAGACUUGGUUCCCGGGACCGCGCCGAUCUCGAAGGCUCCGUACCCCAUGGCGCCGGCAGAGUCAAAGGAGUUGAGGGAUCAGUUACAGGAUCUUUUCGACAAGGAGUUCAUAAAGCCGAGCGUAUCGCCAUGGGGAGCUCCGGCGUUAUUUGUGCGCAAGAAAGACGGCUCGUUUCGACUCUGCGUGGAUUACCGCGAGUUGAACAAGGUCACUAUAAAGAACAAGUACCCGUUGCCCCGAAUCGACGACUUAUUUGAUCAGUUACAGGGGUCGUGAGUGUAUUCAAAGAUAGACCUGCAAUCCGGCUACCACCAAUUGAAGAUUAAGCCGGAGGAUGUGCAAAAGACCGCGUUCCGCACGUGGUAUGGGCACUACGAGUUCACAGUGAUGCCAUUCGGGCUUACAAAUCCCCCGACUGCGUUUAUGGAUCUGAUGAACCGGGUGUUCAGGGCGUGUUUAGCCCGAUUUAUCGUGGUCUUCAUUGACGACAUCUUGGUCUAUUCACGGAGCGAUAAGGAGCAUGCGGAGCAUUUGCGCAUUGUGCUUCAAAUCCUUCGGGAGGAGAAGCUAUACGCAAAAUUGAAGAAGUGUGACUUCUGGCUCCGAGAAGUUGCUUUCCUAGGGCACGUGAUUUCCGAGGGCGGUGUUUCAGUUGACCCGAGGAAAGUUGAGGCAGUCAAGGAUUGACCACGCCCAACGAAUGUCACCGAGGUCCGAAGCUUUGUGGGCUUAGCGGGCUAUUAUCGACGGUUCGUGGAGGGUUUCUCGAAGAUCGUGACCCCACUUACCCGUCUAACGCAGAAGGGCGUUAAGUUUUUUUGGAGUGACGAAUGCGACAGGAGUUUCAACGAGUUAAAGGAAAGAUUAACUUCGGCUCCGGUGCUCGCCUUACCAGUGCAAGGCGAGGAUUAUGUAGUUUAUAGUGAUGCAUCCUAUCUGGGUCUAGGGUGUGUCCUGAUGCAAGGCGGGAAAGUGAUCACUUACGCUUCUCGUCAGUUGAAGGGCUAUGAGAAGAACUAUCCCAUUCAUGACUUGGAGUUGGCGGCGGUGAUCUUUGCUCUGAAGCUAUGGAGGCACUAUCUGUAUGGUGCACACUGCGAGAUCUACACCGACCAUAAGAGUUUAAAAUAUUUGUUUAUCCAGAAGGAGCUUAAUAUGCGGCAGCAGCGGUGGUUAGAGCUGUUAAAGGACUACGAUGUUGACAUCCUAUACCACCCCGACAAAGCGGAUGUAGUCGCGGAUGCGCUUAGUAGAAAGUCGGCGGAGAACCUCGCUAUGUGGGUUACAAAUCAAACGCCCCUAUGGUUGGACAUGGAGCGAAUUGAGCUCGAGGUUGUGACUCCGGAGAUUCCGACUAAAUUGAUGGCGCUAGUGGUUCAACAUACCUUAUUAGAGAGGAUUAAGAGUCUGCAAUCUGCGGACCCGAAUCUCCAAAAGGUGCAGCGCAGCGUUGAGGAAGGCCAUGGUGGCGAUUUCAGUGUAGACGCCGACGGUGCACUUCGGUUUCGAAACCGGUGGUGUGUAUCCGAGGAUAAGGAGCUUCGCGAGCUGAUUUUGCAAGAAGCACACCGGUCUCCAUAUGCUGACCACCCGGGCGGCACCAAGAUGUAUCAUGAGUUGAGGUCGCUCUACUGGUGGCCAGGGAUGAAAACUGAUAUUGGGCGCUUCGUGGCGAAGUGUUUAACCUGCCAGCAGGUAAAGGCGGAGCGCCGAUUUCCAGCGGGGAAGCUUCAAAGCCUACCUAUUCCCGUUUGGAAAUGGGAGAACAUAUCGAUGGAUUUCGUCGUCGGCUUGUCUCGCUCGACGGGAGGCCACGACGCGAUUUAGGUAAUCGUGGAUCGCUUGACGAAGUCGGCACACUUUUUACCGGUCCACACUACUUGGGCAGGUGAUAAGCUAGCGCAGGUUUACCUCGACGACAUAGUGAGGUUGCACUGGGUGCCGAGUCCAUUGUGUCGGAUUGAGACCCAAGUUUACUUCGCACUUCUAGAAGAGCCUGCAGGAAGCCCUUGGCACACGACACGACUUCAGCACAGCGUUUCAUCCCCAGUCAGAUAGACAAACUGAGAGGAUCAUUCAGACUCUGGAGGAUAUGUUGCGAGCGUGUGUCAUAGAUUACAGAGGAGGUUGGUGCAAGCAUCUGCCGAUGGCCGAGUUCGCCUACAACAACAGUUAUCGUGCUAGUGCGGAGAUGGCACCGUUCGAGGCUCUUUAUGGGCGGAAGUGCCGAUCUCCCAUUUAUUGGAGUGAUGUGGACGAGCGUGCGGAAUUUGGCCCCGAAGUGUUGCGGAAGGCGGAAGAGAAAGUCCGCCUUGCCCGUAAAAGACUACUCACGGCACAAUCUCGACAGACGAGCUACGUGAAUAAGCGUCGUAGGGACUUGGAGUUUGCGGUAGGUGACCGUGUCUUCUUGAAUGUUUCGCCCAUGAGAGGCGUUAAGCCCUUCGGAGUGCGGGGAAAGCUAAGUCCCCGGUUUAUUGGUCCUUAUGAGAUCUUGGAGCGGAUUGGGACGGUGGCCUAUCGGCUAGCAUUGCCACCGAAGCUUGCCGAUGUGCAUAAUGUAUUCCACGUCUCCAAUCUCCGCAAAUACGUACUUGAUCCCGAGCACGCAAUGUUGUACGAUCCGCCAGAACUUCAAGAAGAUUUGAGUUUCGAGGAGUUUCCGAUGGCAGUUAUCGCUCGAGAGGUGCGUAAGUUGAGAAAUCGAGAAAUUUCCUAUAUCAAGGUCCGGCGGAGCAAUCACAAUGAUCGCGAAGCCACCUGGGGGCUCGAGGAUGAAAUGAAGGCGAAUCACCCUCACCUAUUUGAGGAUUGAGUUGAGGUAUGAUUUAAAGUUAAUUUGAAUUAAGUUUAAUUAAGUUGAGUUCGUUUCAAGGACGAAACUCUUUUAAGGUAGGGAGGAUGUAAGGAAGUGAAUUCUCGAAAUCCGAGAAUUGAAAUUCGAUUAGAAUCACUUCUUGUCGUGUUGGUAUGCUUCGGAAAGUCCGAAGAUAUCAAAAUAGCAAAAAGUGCAUUGGAAACGGACCCGCGAGAGCAAACGAGCUAAUUUGCUCAAGUGCAGAUUUUGGUACUCUCCGGGACCGGUCCCUCUUGGAGAGGACCGGUUCCCGUAAGAGAGAUUUGAGGAGUUGCUCUUAGGGACCGGUCCUUCCUUAGAGGGAUCGGUCCCCGUACCACGAAAUGCCCAAGUAUGGGCUGUCUCAUAGAUGCAAAGUUGAGGAGUUUUUCAGCAAUUGUAGCAUGGGGGAGGGGGUUAUAUGCUAUUUCCCCUCUCUCUUUCCUCAUUUCCCCUCUCCCACACUAACAUUUCCUCUCCCUCUCUCUCUCUAGAAGAAGAAGAAGAAGGAGAAGAAGAAGAAGGAGAAGAAGAAGAAGAAGGAGACAAAGGAGGAGAGGAACAUCUCCUCCAUCUUCUUCAAGAUAGGAGCAAGCUUUUGGAGGUAACCUCCAACUUGGUUAAUGGUGGAUUUCUAGGGUUAAGUCCAAAUACUCUAGAAUUGGUUUUGUUGGAACCUAAUGGUGUUUAAUAGAUGAUUCUAGCAUGAAUCUAGGGUUUUGUUGGUAUAGUUUGCACUAAUUGCAAACCUAGGGCACCCAAAAUGGGUUUUUGGUUGUUGAAGGGUUGUGAUAUAAUUGAAGCAUGUGUUAACCUAAUUGAUAGGUUUUCCGACGUGUAGGCGAAGACGAUUCGAGGAUCCGUCGAGCGGGUGUGAAGUUAUCAUCAAAAGAGACCCUCGGAGCUUCGUUUCCGCCUAGAAGGCCAACGAGGCGUCGUAAAAUCGGCGAAUCGUAUUCCAAGAGUCGCGACGUCGACGAGGUGGGUGGUGACCAUCCCGAAGCAAUUGAGCUGCCCCCUAUGUCUGAGUUCAUUGUUGAUCAAGUUUGCAUAUUGAGCAUGAUACAUAUAGGUGCUAGAUGGUUAUUGUUUGUUGCUUACACUUGCAUGCUAGUGGUAAUGUAACUUAGUUGAUUUAGCCUUUGAUCCUAGUAUGCAUGAGUACUAUGUGAUAUAGCUUAAAACCCUAUAUGUGAUGCUGUAUGGUGAAUUGGAACCUAGGUGAAUGAUAGCCUAGUGAUAGUGUGCAAGCGGUGUAUCAAGGACACUUAAAUUGAUGACGAGUGGCAUCUAGUUAAUGUAAACCUAUGACGAGUGGCAUAUGAGAAUCUUAGUGUAGUUGAAACACUAGGAGGUUGAGUAUUGAACAUAUGUUGGAUUUGAUGAUUAUAACCCUAGUCGGUAGGGUAUCCUCUCUAGUUUGAGGAUUGGAUCGUGCUCGUGUAGCCUGUUACGCUUUUCGUGGUCGCUCCACACAAGCCGUGCACUCCGGAGGUUGGACUAACGUACUUGUCCGCAGGCGGUCUCGGUGGGCAGAGCGUUUAAAGUCUUUUCCCCCUUUUGAGACUUUGAGACGAGAGUUUGAGGCAAACCUGCGGGUUGGCCAAGUAAUUAGGUAAACAGUUUAAUGAACCUCAUUGUUGAACAUAGUAGCUAGUUCUUUUACUAUGAGUUGCAUGCAUGCAUGUUUACAGAUUGAGGCAUGGUAGAUUACUUUCAUAUCUACUUGUUGUUAUCGCUUUCCAAUUAUCUAUCUAUCCGUAUAUCUAUCUAUGCUUCCUUAGACCUAGUAGGGAGAUCGGCGGAGUCGGCGGCCGAACCCACUGGGAACUAUUUGUAGUUCUCACCCCACCUUGUUGCAGUACAGGUACUUUUCUCGACCUAUACAAGGCGGAUGUUUAUAUUUUGGAAGAUCAAAUGUAAUCAAAUGUAUAAAGUUGUAUCAAAAAAGGUUGAAUGAAUAUAAUAGCUUAGCAUCUCUCUCUUUUAUUCACUUGUAUGUUUAUUACUCGUGAUGCUUGCUCUCGCUUGUUUGGCACUGGUUGUGCUCUCGCUGUUGUUAUUUGAUCGUGUGUGGAUUCAAGUGUAUUCCUGGGAACUUGUUGUACAUGAUCUUGUCACUUGAGCCUUGGGCGAACAGGGGAGGUUCUGUCCAUUCGGCGUCUGUUCGACGCGCCCGAGCCGGACCAAAUUGGUAGCGGGUCUCGGGGCGUGACAUCAAUAUUUGCUAUGCCACUAAAAACAACUGUAGGUUCAUCUAUCACACGUCGUGAGGCUCUAGCUAAUCGUUGCCUCUCUUGCCACAAUCCCUAGCCUUUCCCGCUGCGGAAGGCUCUGAAACAAAACAACAAAACAAAGAGCUUGAGAACUAUUAAUCAAUAGUUUCCAGUCGGCAAGUCGCCGACCUCAGCGAAAUAUACCGCUAGGCUAACCGAGGUAAUAGAUAUGAUAUAGGAAGAGUAAAAAAGUAAAUGCAGCAAUUAAAUAAGCAGUUUCUACUAUAUCAUGCCUCUACAUGAAGUACCUCUAAUAUGUAUGGGAAUUCCAUCAUUAAAAUUACAUGCAUAAGUAAUUAUGUAGGCAACAAUAAAACACUAGUCCAUAUUUAAACCCUGAAUAGUUAUAAUGGUGUAAUUCUCGCAUUGUCAUUGACAUCAAAUCAUUAUAGUCGUCAUAGAGCUAUCCUUCUAUAUUUAACUUCACAAGUGUAGGUUACUAUCACUAAGGUGUCAAUGCAACAAUGCCCCACAAGGAUACCUCUCUACUAUGAAUGCAUCGAAUCUCAACAUAGGGUAACCAACCACUAGUAUGACCAUUUACUAGGUGUGCAUCCACUAGUAUGACUACCAUAAUGUCAGGUUUAAUUAACUCUUGGUUAACAUAGUUCAAUUCAUCAGGACCUACACAAGUGUAGUCUGGCUUGCGCCGUGCCUAAUGGCCUGUGGUAGUCCAAUAUUCUCCUGCAAGGAAUGAGCCUGUCCCAAGUCGACCCAGUAGGCACCGAAUACUGCACGGCGAGCAUCUAUAGCAUAGGCCAACUCCGGAGUGCCGGCUUGUGGGGAGCGACCCUCACAAGCAUAUGCGAUUGAGCACAAAUGGCAAGCAAGCAUGAUCAUCAUUACAAGUAUACGGUCGCCAUGUCUCAACAUGGUAUAAGUACUAGCAACCCCAAAGGUCUAGUUCUAUGUCAAAGCGCACAAGUUUAACCAUUCACUAAGUCCAAUGCCUCUUUAUGACAUUGUUGUUUUCUAUGUUAUAGCACAUGUCCAAAGCACAUGAAGGUCCACAUUUCAUUCAUUGAUUCUAUUAAGGGUGGUUCUAUGUCUCAUACAUGAACCUACCCAUGUGUGCUACUACGACCAUCAUGCUCUAUGCAAAAAGGGUAAUCUUUUAAUGUCAUGUAUGUCAAAUUCCAAAAAUAAUUUAACUCAGUGGUAUGUCUCUACUAAUAUGUCACAUGACUCUACACACAAUGUCCACGUUUUAUUCGUUCCAAUGGGAAUGGUUCGAUGACUCAUUCAAGAACCUAACGGGCUUCACUCAUAUGCCAGUGUGUGAUAUUUCCACUAAAAUGCAAAAGUUGAUUUUCAUUAAACUACUCAAGUGUGUACUUUGUCAUUUACAUAUCAAUUGCAUAUUCCAACACAAGAAUCUCCUACAUGCCUAUAGCAUAAGGUUUCAUCUAACAACUCAUAGGAUGGGUAAACCAUAGUGUUUACAAGCGUAUAUAUAUACCUCACUACCUGAGCCUCCUCUAUAUAAGGUACAACAUUAUUAUGCAAAUAAAUGGCUUCUUUACUCAUGCAACAUGUACUACUACAUGCUUUACUACCGAGAGUGUAUCAACCCUCUACAUGUCAUAUGGAUGUCAAGUAUUCGAACUUCAUCAAUCAUCGUGUCGAAAAUACGAAAUCUCAUUUAUCAACUCAAGGGUCAAUAUAAAGUUACCCGGUUAACUUAGUUGUUCAUCUAACUAAGUACAACAUUCAUGACUCUACAUCAAAUGGUUAACAUGUAGUGCAUCAUACUCAUCAUUAUCUAUCAAGUAAACUAGUUGCAAAGUCCACUAGUUCCAUUAGCCCUCUAGAGUCUCAAAUGACCUAGAAUUCAUCUCUAAGCCCUCUAGAGUCUCAAAUGACCUAGAAUUCAUCUCUAUUAAGCAUUACUACAGUGCAAUAAAAGGAACAUGUCAUCGUACUAUAACUUCAUAGGUACAACAUGCAUGAUUUCAUCUAUUGUUCUCUACUACAUAAAGUAUACAAAAGGUUAUACAUGACAUGUAUUCUCAAGCACUCUAAAAUUCUAUCAUGGCAAAAAUAUCAUGAUUAUGCAACAAUUAAACCCUAUAACAUCAUAGGAGGCAUAGGGGGGAGUUUACCCAUUUUGGUGAGGUCAAACCCACCGAAUCACACCCGAACGCAUUCAUUCCUUCAAACAAAGUUGUCCACCGAACUUCUAACACCCUAAGAGAAAUUCUAAAGGGUUGAAAACUUUCAAAUAACUAUUUCGAAAAUCUUCGAAAAUUACACAUGCAAAAAGUGUAAAAUUACCUUAGGUCAAGAAGAACUUGAUCGAAGCCCAAAUCAAAGCUAGAAAGCUUCAAAUCCAACCUAUAAGAGUGUUCUACAUUCAUCAAUUCUAUCUCAAAAGCUCAUAAUAAGAAAGCCUCAAAAUAAACCCUAAUUUUCCAAAAACUAGGUUUUCUCCCAAAACUCAAGCAAAUCUCUCAAAUAGAGGUUAAGAGAAGAUUUCUAACCUCAAAACAAGCUUGAACUUGAGCCAUCAUGUACUAAGGUUGAAGUUUGAAUCAUCCACAAGCUCCUCUCAUCACCUCCAAGCUCUAAGAAGCAAGCAACCAUGGAGGAAAGGAAGAAAAAGAGAUCAAUUCUCAAAAACCCAAGAGAUUAGUGGAGAAAAUCUAGAGAGAAUGAGAGAAAAACCCACCUCUAGUCCCUCUCUCAAGCCUCAGCCAGCUGAGGAACAAAUGGGGUGAAGGGGUAUAUAAAUACGUUGUAACAAUAUCAACUCAAACCCCUCAACCUUCAAAAUUUACAAACUGCACGAGCUGCAGUUUUUCCCACUACGUACUGGUACGCGGGAAAGAGUACCAGUACCAAGCACAAAAUCCUGCUCAAUCCGAGCCUCGGUCAAGCUUCCAGACUGCGGCGUACCGGUACUCGGCCGAUGUCGUACCAGUACUCCAGCCCCUAAAAUUUGCAGUUGUUGAUUUUGAUACCAAAAGCCUAUUCUCAUGUUAAAUAAGCUCCAGAAUAGGCAAGUACCAUACAUGUAAUCCUCAAAAACAUCCCGAAUAGAUUAAAAUACUAUUCUUACAUUAGAACCUUGCAAUUUGCAGAAGUUUAGUGUGUUACAUAGAGCCUCUACGGAGUAUUAUAGAUGGAUCCGUGAUCAUCUUUCUUUUUAAGAUAUAUUAUGUAUGUAUUUAAAGAUCUACUAAAUUCAUGUGGAUUCUGUUGGUUAUACCGAUUGUAUAUCUUGAGGAUGUUGAUGUUUUAGACUUUUAGUGAUUUUAUCUACUUGCUCUGAUAGCCUUGUUAGGGAUCUGCUUUUGUUUAUUCUUUAUUUUAGUAGACGCCUUGUGUGCAUCGGGGGUGCUUGGUGUGCAUCGGGGGUGCUUGGUGUGCACGGCGGGUCUGUGCAUGCAUCGGGUAGGCUUCCGUUGGGGCCUGGGCGUGACAUCUCUCUUCUCCUCUCUCUUCCAUCUUCUAGCAAGAAGGACGUCCCUUGUAAAGGAGCUAGCACUUCGGUGAGGACAUCAAUCAAAUCACCAACCUCUUGUGGAUACUUAUAGAGGCCGGACGCGUGUACGGCUUCACCAGAACCUAAUUCCAUGAUCAUCAAAUUGUGGUGAAAAUUUAUCCGCGCAAAGGUAAAGAUUAGGUCUUGUUUUUCUUCUUUAAUCUUAAAGAAUAUAAGGGAUCUUAUUUGUGUGGUUUUCGAGAUCGGAUUUCGAGUUUUAAAAAUCAAAUUUGUUUGAUUUCUUUUUCCGCUGCGAUUUUAUCGUACGCAAAUUUUCUAAUACUCUAAACUUUAAACCAUUUUGAAAUUGACCUCUGAAAAUUUUUUAUUUGAUUUACACCUCCUCAACUUACAAACUAUUUGAUUUAGGCCAUUCCAUUAGUAAUCUUGAAAAUUUUAUUAGAAUCAAACACUCACGUUAGAUGGAUGUGAUCAAUAUAUUGCUUUAGUAAAAAAAGAGGAAAGAAAUUUUUGAUAAUAUAAAGAAGUAUGGAUGUAGUAUAUAUCUUAUUAUUCAAAAUGAAUCAAACAAAGUUAAGUAGAAUAAUUUUGCUUUUUUUUUUCUCGACUAAAACAAUUUUUUGUCAUAUUCAUCUCUCGCAAGUGUUUGAUUUUAACAAAUUUUUUUCCCAAUUAUUGACGAAAGGACCAAAAUCCCCAAAAUUUUUAGCGAAAAGACCCAAAUCAAAUAAUUUGUAAGUUGACAGUGGCAAUCAAAUGGCAAAAAGUUUAGAAGGUUAGUUUCAAAAUAGAUCAAAGUUUUUAACCUAAAAAUUAUUGAGUAAAACUAUUUGUACACCCAAAAGUUAAAGGCAUAUCUUACAACUUUAAGUAUCUCUUUUAUAUUUAAUAUUAAAUAAUUAUUAUGACUAGUAUUUAUCAAUAUAAGCUUAUGAAAGGGCGAUAGGGUUGGAGCCCUCCCCGCGUUUUGCGCUCUCCGCCCUCCCGUACGGCGGCCCCCCCCUCCCUUCCGAUUUUUCCCCCUUUCCAUUUCGUAGCCCGCCCCGCGUUUUGCGCUCUCCGCCCUCCCGUACGGCGGCCUCCCCCCAUCCCUUCCUCCGUUUCGUAGCGGCGAUAGGGCUCGAGCCCUACCCGCGUUUCGCGCUCUCCGCCCUCCCGUACGGCGGCGCCCCCCCCCCUACCCGCGUUUCGUAGUGGCGACGCCAACGCUGUCCUCCCUCGGGAACACCGUCGCAUCCUCCCAUACGCGGCGGCGUUGCCCCCUUCGCCGUCCUUUCGUCCUCUCCGCCUUGACUCGCCCUGUUGCCUGUCCCGUCCGACGUCCCGUCUACCUUAUUCCGUACUCUUCGCCUUCUCCCGCCCUGUUGCCUGUCCCGUCUGCCAUCCCGUCCGCCUGUUCCCUUCCGAUAGCCCGUAGGACUGGGGGGUGGCAUUGUGCCGUCGGUGGUGUGGGCGGCGACUUUUCCUCUACCGCACGUUCUCGGUUGUGCAGGUCGGCGUGGCUUCUUCGUACGGUUGGUGGUCAGUAUGCAUUAAUUUAUUAUUAUUAUAUUUAACGCGAUCGCAGCCCACUUCGCGUGAGGCGUGGCGCUUGCGGGCUCUCUCUCGCUCUCUUUUCUGCUUUACCUGGCUAUAAAUACUGAACGGUUUGGCAUGCCCGAUCUUUUUCUUCUACUUCCCCCGGUAUUUUGUCCCCUGUUUUUUAGCGCGGUUGUCCUGUCGUUUUUGCCUUGUGGUGCUCUUUGUUUUGUGGGUGUUUACUUUGUGCGGCUUUUUUGCUUGAGUCAUGGCAGCCGUAGUUGUGGAAAUCUGUUUCCGAGAUUUCCUGCGCAUUAUCUGUCAGCGAUUCUCUUUGGCAGCACCUGCGUACGGGAUCCCAAUUGAAAAUGGGGGCUUGCUUAGUGCUUAUGUUGAAGUGGAGGUUCCUAGAGGAGAGAUUGUUAUGGAGACAAUCCGUUGCUGGGGCGCGUUUUGCUCUACUGUCAAUGAGACAGAGGAGGACGCCGCCUGUCGUGCUGUUGCGAGAUUACGUGAUGAGUUUGGUUUUGAGGUCAAAGAUAGUAAUCUAGAAGAGAAGAAAUUUUUAAAGAGCCUAUAUGAGCGUGUUUCUGCUGAUUAUAGCUUGCUUCGUAGUAAAUAUAAGCGCCUCAGACGCGACUGCAACCUCUUAAAGGGGUACUGCAGCUCUCUCCUUGCUGAGAAAGAGCAACUUCUUUCGGACCGGAGGGAGUUCAAGGAUAAUUUGCUUAAGUGCCUUGCUUCGGUGAAACAGUGAAAGAUUGGUGUGGUCUGCCCAUGUAAUAGCUGGGGUGUUCCUGAGGAAGGACCGGCAGCGUAUCCGGGUUAUUAUGGUGGUAGGGAUUGACAAAACCUUGGGCUUUUUUGAGAUUUUUUUUUUUUUUUUUUUUGGCUAGGAGUCGUGUUUGUAUAACCGGUGAUUUUACUAUAUGCUUUUUCGUUUUGGGUUUGAAUUAGGUGCUCUACUAUUAUGACUAAUGAUGGCUCUACUGUGUGAGAAGUAAUGUUUUGUCCGCUCUUUAAACACUACUUAUAGUUAUAGAUGUGUUGUCAAACUUCAACCAGUUCACAGUUCUUGUGGUUGAAAUACGUAAAUCUGCUUUGGUUUCUGUAACUGGGGUUAGAUGCUUUGCUUUUAUUGUUAUUGGGUUUGUUUCCGGUGAAUGGUUUGGUAAAGGAUGCAUUUUUGUAUAUUGGUUUGUUCUAAUAUUGGUUUAGGGUGCGGUUUAUUGUUUUCGGUCGCUAUUGAGGAGAUUGUUAUUAUAAUUGGUUGUGUUUUAUGUGGAUUUUUUGGGUGUUGAGAUUGGGACUUCUUUUAGCAUCCUUCUUGCUGUUGUGUUCUCCUUUUUCCUUAUUCUUUUUUUUGUUUUUUGGGAGGCUAUGAUGAUAUAUAAAAAAAGAGACAUGAGGUUCGGAUGGUUUGGUUUCUAGGCAACUAGCUCUUGCUUUCUGUUGUAUCUUGCGCAGCCUAUAUCUUCAAUUUUUUAUUGGUGCAAGUUAUGAAGAUAAGCACAAUGAUGCCUUUCCUUUUGUACUUUAUGUUUUUCUUAGAUUAGGUUUCGAUAAGAAAUAAAAUUUAAUUUGAACACAUUUGAAAAUUUUAUUUAGCUAAUAUAAUUGCAAUUUUUACCCUGGAACAUUAAUUGUUAGCUAUUUUUCUGCUAUUCUUUCUCGCAUACAUGAAUGCGUUGAGUUUAUGUUGAAUUUGAAAGUGCUAUGCUUCCUAAGAAAUGGUAAAUAAUUGUCAUACUACUUUAUUAACUAUAAUGACGCUUUUGGAUCGCCCUUUCAUAAGCUUAUAUUGAUAUGUAUAAAAUGGUAGUCAUAUUGUUUUAAUAACUCAGGUUCGCUAUUAAAUAUUUAAGAUCUCAUAAUAUGUUCGAUUAGUGUUUGAAGUCCUUUAACAUAGUGCAUGAGCUAUAUAUUUCUGUUUAAGGCUUUUCUUUUCCCUUUUGGGGGAGAGCUGUCAUAAUAUUUUAAAAAAGAGACAUGAGGUUUGGAUGCUCUGGUUUCAAGGUGACGAACUCUUGGUUUUCGUUGUAUUCUCCACAGCCUAUAUCUUAAAAUUUUUCUCUGAUUAUAUGGUUUGGACUUACUUUCUGAUUUUGCUUUUGUUUUUUUCCUUUUUUUUCCCUCUCUCUUUGAUUGUAUGGUCUCGAUUUUCUUUGUUGUUUUUUGAGCCAGUGAGGGUGGAUAACAUGAUAAAUGCUGUUUUUUGGACUAUUAUCCGGCCUCAAUCUAAUUAAAGAUGUGUUGAGCCAAAUCAAUGAAAUGUGUGAUAUAAACAUAACUUAUUGCUGAUAAAAUAUUAUUUGGACCAAAUAUUAUUGAUGAUCAAUCAUAAACAUAAACAGUUCUGUACUUGCUGUUACCAAUUGCAAAAACUGAAUAAACAAAUACCGAAAGAAAAAAAAAAACUUAAAAUUUCCAUUUUUUUUCUGGCUGUUGUGAUUCUUUGAUUUUGGUGAGCAUUGUAUUUUCCUCAACCUAUAUCUUAAGAUGGAUCAAAUAUCUUACCUUUUUUGCUAUCUCCUUUUGCAGCAGCGUAGAUCGAUAGAAUGAAAAAAAAAAGAGCUGGUUUUGUCUGCCUACUUACUAGGCAACUACCUCAUAGUGUUCGCUUUCCUUUCCUCAAUCUAUAUCUUAAGGUUGGAUGGAAAUAAUAUCUGAGCCUCCCGUAGUUUUAUAUGUUUUUUGUAUUUUUUAUGUUGCCUAUAUUUUUUUUGUUAGAUAUGUUUUUAUUGUUGUGUAUAUAUAUAUAUAUAUAUAUAUAUAUAUAUAUAUAUGUGUGUGUGUGUGUGUGUGUGUGCAUGUGUGUGUGGAGUAAGGAAAAUACUGGUUAUAUCUAACUCUUUAUUUAUAAAUUAGUAAAAGCAUAUGUGUGUGCGUUUGUGUAUAAAUAUGUAUAUAUGAACUAUGGAAAAAAGUUGUUAGAUCUGAUUCUGUAUUUGUAGAUUAGUAAAAGCAUCUAUGUUGCUUCAGUGUUUGAGGGAAUGGAUGUUGAGCAAUAUACACUUCCUUUUUAAUAUUUUUUUUUUGCUCCUGGACCCUCUAAUUGCUUAUUUACAAAAUCUGUAAACUGUUUAGGUUUUGGGGAAUUUUUUUCUCGUGAACUGUAGAGUCUUUUAGAUAUUCCACGUUUAGUUCUGCUUUUGGUGNUGAAGAUCUGCCUAUACCAAAGUUUAAGUUCUUACAUCCAAUAUUAAAUUAAGCAAAAUAGUUUAGUUAACUAGCUUUAGUAAAAGCGUAUGUGUCUGCGUUUGUGUAUAUAUGUAUAUAUGAACUAUGGAAAAAAGUUAUUAGAUCUGACUCUGUAUUUGUAGAUUAGUAAAAGCAUCAAUGUUACUUCAGUGUUUGAGGGAGUGGAUGUUGACCAAUAUACACUUUCUUUUUAUAAAUUAGUAAAAGCAUAUGUGUGUGCGUUUGUGUAUAUAUAUGUAUAUAUGAACUAUGGAAAAAAGUUGUUAGAUUUGGCUCUGCAUUUGUAGAUUAGUAAAAGCAUCUAUGUUGUUUCAGUGUUUGAGGGAAUGGAUGUUGACCAAUAAACACUUUCUUUUUAUUUUUUUUUGUUUCUCCUGAACCCUCUGUAAACUGUUUAGGUUUUGGGGAAUUUUUUUGGGGUGACCUGUACAGUAUCUAAUAUAUUCCACGUUUAGCUCUGCUUUUGGUGUUGCUUAUAUUUAUGUGUGUAAUGUAUAUAUGUUUUCCUUUAGUUUUUCCCCCAAAUUUUUUGAAAAGUAUCUUUGCAGCAAAUGUGUGGUCGGUUAAACAAAGUAAAAGAAAAUGCUUAAUAUGGUAUUGCAUAUAUUCACAAAUUGAAUAAUCCAAGGUAGACAUUAGGUAUCAGGUUUGGGAUUGGUUUGUAUUAGAAACAUUUGAGUUUUUUUGCAACUGAGCUGAAGUAUUUAAAAAAAAAUCUCAUGAGGAAUACCGGAGUUUACUUACUCAAGUUAAAUGCAGAUAGAAUUACAGGUAAGAAUAUAAUGCACAUAAAUUACUUUGCGAUGUGGGUGGUUUGUCACAAAUUACUAUGUAAUUUUGCGUAAUUUUCAAGGCCAGGUCAUACCAUUUUGGUAUCCAAUUGUCUUCCCUUCUUUUGUUGUUUUCAUGAAUAAUCUUUUGUUGGCUGUUAUUUUAUUCUUACAUGAAUUCAAAUUAGAUGUCUUUGCUUUUCUAUUUUUUGCUUAUCUGCUGUAAAACUAUGGUAUCACAGUAGGAAUGCUGCGUGUAGUUACAAUAAAUCCAUACAAUUUAGGCUUCGGGUUGUGGUUGAAAUAUCGUUUGUCUUAUGUUAAAGGUAUAGAUGUUGUUCUGUUUUGCAUCAUGCAUUUUCUUAUUGUGUCAUAGUACAAUAGGUAGUUAAUUAGUUCCUCCUAAAUCGUAACAAAAAUUCCCGCACGAUCUUUAAUUAUGUCCUUAGGCUUUUGUUUUCAUAAGUGUUUAGUCGGGCAAUUUUCCAUUUUUUGUUGUAGGAUUCCUUCGAUAUCUUUUUUUUGCGACAUAUUUUCUUAUUGUAUUUGUUGAUAUUUUAUUAUUGAUGUGUUGUUCUUUGAUCUUUUUGAUUUGUUCCUCUUCGUAAUUUCCUUACCUUCUAGCUGUUUUGUGCUAGAAAUCUUACUUAUCUACUUAAGAUAAUGAUGUUGCUGAACCUCCGACUAUAUAUAUAUAUAUAUAUAAAGAAUUGUAUUUUUCUUUUUCACUCAGUUCUAAGUAGAUGCUUUUGUUUAAAGGAAUAGUCAAAUGGUGUAAGUAAAGGCUUGGCAAUAUUUGGAUGGUUUGCUAAGCAAGCAACCAUUUGUUGUUUGAAUUUGCUUUUGUCAUUUCAUCGAAUAUGAAGCGAGUCUGAGCCGAGUCUUUUUCUAUUUAUAACUAUUAAUUUGAUACUUUUUAAGCAGAUGCAAACAAUGUGGUCUUCUUUUAUACUUUUUUUAAUGCAAAGAUUUUGCUUCUCACAGAAUCUGAUCUUCCAUGAUUUAGUUGCUACCUUUUUUUGUCUCCUAAGUGUAUGAACAAUACUGCCGGGUCUCUCUGGAACCAACAGGCUUUUGUAUAAAUGCUGACAUUAUUUUAUUUCUCUCUAAUCUGUUAUAGUUAGUGCUUAGAUUAUUCAUUUUUUGGCAAGUUUUGAUUCGUCUUCUCUUUUAAACAAAUUAAAUCAACUCUAGACUAUAUUGAGAAUGUUGUUGCAUAGUUUAUUGUUGAUAAUAUGAAUUUUCUUUUGUUACUAUACAUAUUUUUCUACUGGGACCAAAUAUUUGGUAUUAGGAAAUCAAAAAUAUUUAAAAAAAAAAAAGAUAUCUCAAAUAUUUGGCCACAUUAGGAAUGUCGUGUGCAGUUACAACAAAUCAGUACAAUUUAGGCUUUAGGUCGCGGUUGAAAUGUCAUUUGUGCACGUUUGCAAAAAUUCCAUACAAUAUAGGUUCCUGCAUUGUGAGUGAUUAGAAGUAUAGAUGUCAUUUUAUUUGCUGAUUUAGAUGCUCUUAUUGUGGCAAAGUAUAUGAUGAAGCUACAUUAUGACAAAGAGUCAAAUGAAGAUUCCCAUAUAUUUUGCUGCAAAAUCUAGAGUUAUUAUAUUCGGAAAAAAAUUGCAUCAACUUUAGAUUAUAUUGAGAAUGUUGUUGCAUGGGUUAUUGUUGAAAGUAUGGAUCUUUUUUUUUGGUUCCUCAAGAUAUUUUCCUACUAUGGCGAAAUAUUGGGUAUAGGCAAAUCUAGCUUAUUUAAAAAUAAAGAUAUUUCAAAUAUUUUGCCACAGUAUAAAUGUCGUAUGUGGUUUCAAAAGAUUCAUAAAAUUUAGGCUCCUAUAUCGUGACUCCUUGGAAGUAUAGAUAUAUUGGGCCUGUGAGUGUAGAUAUAUUUGGUCACAGUUCAAAUGUCGCAUGUAUUUGCCAAAAAUCCAUACAAUAUAGGUUCCUACAUUUGUGAGUCCUUAUAAGUAUAGAUAUUGUAGUUUUUCGACUUAGGUUUUCUUAUUGUGUGAAAGUAUAUAGUGUGGCUAUAUUAUGACAAAGAGUGCAACGAAUUUUCUCAUAUAUUUAGGUGCAAAAACUAUAGUUAUUAUAUUCAUGGAAACAUUGCAUGCACAACAUGUAGACUAAAACUUAUAUAUUAUGAGAAUAUGUGGUUGAUUGGUUUAGGGAAUGCUUGAAACUUCAUGUGUGGUAAAAGUAUGUAUUAAAUAAGGAAAAGUUAUUGCUCGACUAAGGACCUACAUUUGUGAGCUAAAUAGGAAGUUAUAGGUUUUUUUGUCAAAUCCUAUGCUUGAUUGUAUCAAUUUGGGCUCAAUUAAUUUAGUUUUUUUUUUUUUUCUGAUUUUGUCUGAUCCAAGAUUUCUAUAUAUCUAAUACUAGAUUGUCUACGUUGUAUAGGUGAAGAACUGCCUAUACCAAAGAUCAAGUUCUUACAUCCAAUGUUAAAUUAAGCAAGAUAGUUUAGUCAACUAGCUUUAGUAAAAGCAUAUGUGUGUGCCUUUGUGUGCAUAUAUGUAUAUAUGAACUAUGGAAAAAAAAGUUGUUAGAUCUGACUCUGUAUUUGUAGAUUAGUAAAAGCAUCUAUGUUACUUCAGUGUUUGAGGGAAUAGAUGUUGACCAAUAUAGACUUCCUUUUUAAUUUUUGUUUCUUUUUACUCCUGAACCCUCGAAUUGCUUAUUUUCAAAAUCUGUAAACUGUUUAUGUUUUUGGGUUUUUUUUUUUGGUGAACUGUAUAGUAUUUUAUAUAUUCCACGUUUAGCUCUGCUUUCGGUGUUGCUUAUAUUUAUGUGUGGUUUUUACUUAAGUCUGGUACAUUACGCCUAAAAUGUGUGAUCGGUUAAACAAAGUAAAAGAAAAUGCUUAAUAUGGUAUUGCAUAUAUUCACAAAUUGAAUAAUCCAAGGUAGACAUUAGGUAUCAGGUUUGGGAUUGGUUUGUAUUAGGAACAUUUUUGUUUUUUUUUACAACUAAGCUGAAGUAUUUUUUGAAAAGUUUCUUUGCAGCUUUGUUUGCUUUUUAAAUCUUAUGCGGACUGGUUUUUACUUAAGUCUGGUACAUUAUCCCUAAAAUGUGUGAUCGGUUAAACAAAGCAAAAGAAAAUGCUUAAUAUAGUAUUGCAUAUAUGUAAUAACUGAGAUUUUUCAUUUAUUGAUUAAACCCUUUAGUUUGACGAUGUUCUUGUGUGUAAUAUAAUUAUAAGUGUACUCGUCAAAUUUCAGGAGAAAACGAGUUAAAACGGAGAAGUUACGCGACCCGGAAGUUCGACUUAAGUGAAUAGUAACUCCGGUUUUCCGGAGAGGCCGCGAAGUAGAGUGGACUUUCAACGCGUAUCGGACUCCGAAUAUAGCCUUCCAAUAGCUCGUUUCGAACCUCUCGACUAUACUGGAACCAUUGGCGCUGACGGAAUUGGGUUCUGAUGCACGGUUGUCGAGAAAAAGGGGUUUAAUGGUUUUUACAUAUGAUUAUACCUAUAUGUGGUUUUUGAUGGAACCAGUGAGGGUGGGUUUUGUCGCAAAUCGGAGACCUUUUCAGACGAAACGAAAUGCUAGAUUCGAUGCCCCAGUCGUGCUGAUCGCGCUGGCGCAAUCCGUUCGGAAAUCCGACGGACGGAUCUUCGGGAAUCGCGAAAAGUCCGCGAAGGGGCUGAUUUGACAAAACGGAUAAAUCGCGAAGAAGCCCAUUAUUUUAUGCGCCGUUUUGCGAGUUUUCGAACUCGGAGGGACUGUCGUGCAAGGUGCACCAACUGGUAGGGAGCUGGGUCGAAAUUGGUCAACAUCGGGGGUUUUUCCGCAAGGUUUACUCUACCUACAUAAAGGAAGAUUUAGGGUUCCGAGGUGAAACCCUAACCCUAAUCCGACCCCAGCUGACCCAGACCACCCUAGCCGCCCCAGCUGAGCCCUGCCCUGUCGGUGCGCGCGCCCCGGCCGCCGGCGUGCUGCUCCGGCCACCGGAAACCCUCCUGCAGCCUUCCCGGACCACCCUCUCGGCCACCUUUUCCUCCUCCUUGGCCGAGAGCAAGUGGGGCAUCUACACCACCUCUGGAAGGAAGCCCCGGCCGUGAUCCACCUCCAGCGCGCCUAUCUCCCAGCUCCGGCCAUCCCCGGACGUUGCCGGAGCCGCCUGGAAGCUGCGGCCAGCCCGGGGUCAACCCAGGCCGAGCCGGGCCAACCUCGAGCUGCGGGCGCCGCCACCACAUUUCUCCGGCCGCGCCGCCCUCCAGUCGGCCUCGGCGACCUCCGGCAACCCGGCGCGCGCAUCCCCCGCCGUCCCCGCGCGCCGCCGGCCGUCGCUGGAACUUCCUGUGGCCGCCCAAGCACGUGCGGGCCGAGGUCGGGCCCGCCCAGCUUCUAGACGCUGCCGCAGCCCACCGUAGGGUGCACGGCCUCCCCCUCGACCUCCGGCGCCGAACCGUCGCCGCCCCGACCUCCUCCGGCCGCCGCCGCGCCGCCGGGAAGCUUGAACCCGAGAGGGAGUUGGGGGAGUGGAUCUCGGCCGCCGCGCCACCGGUUGCCGCCCGCCGCCGGCCAGCACCCUCCCCGGACCCCCUGGACCGAGUGCUCCCUCCUCCGGCCGGAUCGCCCGCCUCCCGGCCGCCGGCGACCAACCCUAGCACUCCUCGGGUCCGGUAAGGGCAUUUUACGUUCCAGCACUGUUUUUCGAGGUUCCGGUCUCCUUUUCGGUGAUCCGAAAAGCCUCCUAAGCUUCGGGAAGUGAGCACGAUGAUCUACAACUCGUGCUGAACAUCGUGCUCACCUCCAAUAGCAGCAAUGAUGCCCUGGUUUGUGAGUUAGUCGCGAUCUUCGCGCUGUGCGCGCAGUUUAUCUGAUUUUCACAUCGCUCGUGCGCGCACCGCAGUGGCCGGCAGUGCUCCGAAAGGUGAGCACGGCCUCCGACAUGCUGAAACCUGUCAGCGAGUACGACGGUCGGAUUAAUCGACCCCUGGUUUGUGCGCACGGUCCAGAAAAGUCUAGAAAUCACAUGAAAUGAUGCAAUUUCAUGUAUCGGUAUCGGCUUUUAGGCUUUCUGCUUCGUUGUAGAUGCUGUGGACAGCGUGUAAAUGCUGAGGGUAACCUCUGGACUGAUCGUCCAAGGCCCCAAGCCUUUGCGGAAAUCGUAAAGUGACUUCCGGAGCGUUUUUCGGCGAAAUCCGCCGAUAGAACGCGGUUUCGGUUCGGAAUUCUUCCGAUGGUUCUUGGGGAUCAUUUGUUUCGUCGCUGAGCCUUGUUGGCUGGUCACCUGCAUCGUUUCGUGGGUUUGGAAACGACAGGUGAGCGACAGCGAAGUUCCGGUGCGGUUUUCGGGACUUCCGGUUUGUACGGUAAGCUGUUUUGGGAAACCGUUUUUGUGGGGCUAUGAGCGGGGGUUGUGAGUUAGCUUUUGAUGUCAGUGGGUUAGGCCUUAACCCGUUGGACCUUUCGUAGGUUCGGUUGCACCGUCUUCACAGUCGAGAGACCUUCGUCAGAUACAUACAAGUGGGUACUUCGACCCGACGUCGGUACAGUGGUGCACGCUCGGUGACGUUCCUUCCACCCUUCCUAUUUACAUUGCUUAUCAUAUACAUUGCCUAUCAUAUUAUCCUCGUAUUACUCUACUCGGUUGUUUCCAUGCUCGGUAUCUUGUGUAGGAGUAGAGUAGAUUUCUUCAGCAUAUGAUAUCUGUGAUCUGGUUGGUUGAUUCUCCUUUGUUGUAUCUAUGACCUGGUUGGUCGAGUUUCAUACUUCAUACUUGUGACCUGGUUGGUCGAUUUGGUUACAUGAUGACCCAUGCGGUCGAUGGGCCCUGGGGGGCAGGAUUGUCGGCUGGUUGCCGACGGUUGAUCAUUGAGCAUAUUGCAUUGAUCGCCCGAUACUCGUCGCAUUUCACGAACACUGGCGGUCUGAUCCACUGCAAGAAGUGUUCUUUUCCGGAAAAGUGGUUGAAUGGUGACAACCCGUGAGCCCUAGAAGGGUUAUAUGCACUGGAGAGUAAUAGUGGCAUUGGCUUGAGGUCUGCGGUGCUGACCAAGAGAGCAGUGGUUCAGAUUGGGUACUUUUGGACUGAUUGUCCCGUUGAUGCAUACUUACAGUAGCUGUAGUUGUUCAUUUAUAUUCAUUUCAGUUCUUGUUUAUCUUAGCUACUGUACUACCAUUAUCCAUCUAUUUGUUUAUCUCCGUGACUAGUGAGUACCCCUCGCCUUCUUCGGCUUGCGGUACCCACUAGGAGGGGAGACAUGUUUACAUGUUCUCACCCCCCGCCCCCAUUACAGGUGACGUAGCAGGACCGAGUGGGACAGCUGGUGAGGAGCGUGUCUAGCGUGCGAUAGAGCUCCUUCCCGAGUCGGUUAUUCCUUUUACCCUUCAUGCUUGAAUAAAUACUUAGACAUAUUAUGGUUCAGUUCUAUUUUAUUAUCUGACUAUCUGGGUUUUCAAUUGGUUUUGAAAUGUACUAAAGGAUUUGAGUUUUCUUGAAAUAAAACAGUUUUCUACCCCUCGUGGUAGCUGGUUUUGAAAAAGAAUAAUUCCCGUGUGGGGAUCAGUUUUCAAAUUGAUUUUUCUGUGGUUUUAUGGAUUUAGUAUUUCAAAAUCGGUUUCCAGGUAGGAAACAUUUUAACUGAUAGAUGUGGAAUGUUAUUCAUAAUUCAAGUAUCAUAUCUGUGUGUGUGAAUGGAAUGGAUGAAUGUUAUCUAUCUUGUUGUUCAUCUGGUUGUGGUUGUGAUUGUGUGUGUAUCUAUACUCUGUUGUACUUGUGCGACGCCGUGCAAAUACAGGGGAGACUCUGUCCGUGUGAACAGUGGAACUCCUGUAUUUGUGGCGGAUCUGGCACACUCUGGGAUUAGAUUUUCAAAAAAAAAAAUUUAGACGCUUUUCCGCUACCUUUUUAAACUAAAAGGGACCCCGGGGCGUGACAAUAUAUUCACAAAUUGAAUAAUCCAAGGUAGACAUUAGGUAUCAGGUUUCGGAUUGGUUUGUUUUAGGAACAUUUUAGUUUUUUUUUACAACUAAGCUGAAGUAUUUGUAAAAAAAAUCUCAUGAGGAACACCGGAGUUUAUUUACUCAAGUUAAAUGCAGAUAUAAUUAUAGGUAAGAGUAUAACGCACAGAAAUAACUUUGCAAUGUGGGUGCUUUGACGCAAAUUACUAUGUAAUUUUGCAUAAUUUUCAAGCCCAUAUCAUACCAUUUUGGCAUCCAAUUAUCUUCCCUUCUUUUGUUGUUUUCGUGAAUAAUCUUUUGUUCGCUGUUAUUUUAUUCUUACAUGAAUUCAAAUUAGAUGUCUUUGCUUUUCUAUUUUUUUGCUUAUCUGCUGUAAAACUAUGGUAUCACAGUAUGAAUGUUGCGUGCAUUUAUAAUAAAACCAUACAAUUUAGGCUUUGGGUCGCGGUUGAAAUGUAUAAUUAGUUUCGAGAAUGAUUGAAAAUUUCUAUGUUGUGGAUUUUAUGGUCUCGGAUUUAGAUGAUAAAAUUGUAACAAAGAUUCCCACAUGAUCUUUAAUUACAGUCUUAGGCUUUUGUUUUCAUAAGUGUUUAGUUGGUUUAGAUGAUGAUUAAAACUUCCUAUGUGGUUGUAGUUUAUGGAAACAGAUUAAAUUAACUCUGGACUAUAUUGAGAAUGUUGUUGCAUAGUUUAUUGUUGAUAAUAUGAAUUUUCUUUUGUUACUCUACAUAUUUUUCUAUUGUGACCAAAUAUUUGGUAUUGAGAAAUCAAACAUAUUUAAAAAAAAAAACAUCUCAAAUAUUUGGCCACAGUAGGAAUGUCGUGUACAAUUACAAUAAAUCAAUACAAUUUAGGCUUUUGGUCGCGGUUGAAAUGUUGUUUGUCCAGAAUUGUGUGGUUUUUUAUACUAAUGUUGUCUAUAUGUUUAGGUAUUGUUUAGGACAACAAAAUUACUUACUCGUAUUUAUCAUAAUUAUACGCGUUUGCCGGAAUUUGUAGAUUAGUAUCAAGCUUUUAUCCUAUUACUUGGUUACAUCAGCUGGUACUUUUUUGGUAUUUAGUCAAGUUUGUAAGCCUCUCCCAUUACAUAGUUACAUCAUCUGAUACUUAUGUGACGCCCCGACUUCCCAGGGGGUCACCCAUCCUAGGACUACUCCGGNACGGUUAAAAUCGAAUGACAUCCUAAAAAUGGAUGAUCGGAUCCUUCAAUUUAAGAUCGGAGUUAUUGAUCUUUAUUUAGGUAGUGAAUAGAAUUUUCUAUCAAAAAUUCAACCUAUUUCGAUUCUUUUUCACCGUUAAACUAGCAAAUAUCUCAUACCGGCCGUUAAAAAUUGUCAAUUUUCUGACCGUUUGAUCGUAAGGUAAAUGAUAUCGAAAAAUUAUAAAAUUUAAUUUCUAGAAGUUUUAAAUGCUCUUGAUAAUGUUUAACUGUAUGGAUCGUCGAUUCGGAAGCUCUAUCAUCGAAAACAACUUAUGAGUACGAAGACGAUCGUACUCAUAAGAGUAUAGUAGCUGGACUAUAUAUAUAUAUAUAUAUAUAUAUAUAAGAGAGAGAGAGAGAGAGAGAGAGAGAGAGAGAGAGAGAGAGAGAGAGUUGAGCUAGAAUACUAUCGAUAGCAAAUCGGCUCUUUUGCCACCCAUUUGUUUUCGAUGAUGGAGCUUCCAAAUUGAUGAUUGGCAUUGUUGAACAUGAUCUGUACCACUUGAAGUAUUUAGAAAUCAAAUUUCAUACAUUUCGAUAUUGUUCUCUUAUCCAUCGAGUUGACACAAAAAUGAACGGCUGAAAAUGAAUAUUCUUAAAAAAAUGAUAAUAGGAGUCCUGUAAUCAAGAUCAAAAGUAUAGAUCUUGUUUUAAAUAGUUUAAAGAAUUUUCUAAUAAAAAUUCAAUUGAUUUCAAUAUCUUUACACCGUUAAAUGAGAAAACGCGUCAUAACGACCAUUAAAAUUACAAAUUUUGAAACCCUUUGAUCAUUAAGCAAAUGAUGUCGAAAAGAUUUGAAAUUUGAUUUCUAGAUACCUCAAGUGAUAUAGAAUAUGUUCAAUGGUGCCGAUCGUUGAUUUGAAGGCUCUAUCAUCAAAAACAAAUGGGUGGCAGCGGAGCCCAUUUGCUACCGAUAGCAUUCUAGCUCAACUAUAUAUAUAUAUAUAUAUAUAUAUAUAUAUAUAUCAAAUUUGGGUCUGUCGACAGACCCAUUUUUAAGCGGGAAAAAUAUUGAUUCCUCUUUCCGUACGUAAAAUAAAUAACGUAAUGAAACAAACUUUUCAUUUAUAUUAAUCUCUAAAAUAGAAAAAAAUAUACUUAUCCAAAUUUUUACCAACAGAAAGAUAUUUACCGUGAAUCUAUAUUUUAAUUAAAAAAUUAUUUAAUUUUUUAUCUCUAAAAUAGAAAAAUAUUAUGCUUAUCCAAAUUUUUGGCAGAAUAUCUACAGUAAAUCUAUAUUUUAAUUCAAAAUUUAAAAUUAAUUUAAAAUUUAAAAUUUUGGGACUAUCAAUAUAUUACAAUGAAAAUAAUUUAAAAGAUAGAUUGGUUGAUACAUUUGUAAAUUAUAUUUUUGAAUUAAUAUGAUGUACAAAUUUAUGAUCAAUUUGUAAAAAAUUAUCUCAAAUAAGAACGAACGAUUAUGACUAAUUUUUUUAUAAAAACAUUUAUACUUAUCUAUAACUUCAAUUCUACGAAUGAGUAUGAUCAAUUGGUCAAAAAUAUUAAAAAUAAAAAUGACGGUUAUGAUCAAUCUGUUAAAAAAAGCACUUCUAACUAUUCAUUUUACAUUAAAAUUUAAAUUUGAGUUCAAAUCGUGAAUUAAAUUUAAUUUAAAAAAUAUAGAAAAAUAUCCAAUGUAUAUCUAUAUCUAUCGUAUAUAUAAAUUUUAUAAAAUAAAAAAAUAUAUAUACUUAUUGUUGACAACAACUAUUUAAAUUUGAGUUAGAAUAUAUAUAUAUAACAUGUAUUUUCUAAUAGUACAUAAUAAAUAAAUUUAUUUUUAAAAAAUAUUAUAAAUUUUUGAAUAAAUAUGAUGUACAAUUUCAUAUUAAUUUAAAAUAAUAAUUAAAUAAUUAAUUAUUACGUACAUUUAUACGUACACGCAACUAGUAUAUAUAUAUAUAUAUAUGUAAUAAUAUAAUCUAAAAUAAAUUCGAAUUCGGGUGGGGUGUACUUAAAAUUCAUAUCCGAAUUCAUAUUAGUCGAAUUUUUAUUUUUAAUAUUUAUAUUCAAAACUAUAUCUAUUUAGCAUAGAAUAAAUUUACUCCCGUUUUUAUUUGGAUUCUGAAAAAAAUUUAAGUAUCCAUACCCAUCGGCAUCCCUAAGCAUUACCCGAUCCCGCGGUAUAAAAGGAUCUCCUUGGGGCGCCGCAGCUCAGAAAACCCUAAUUCUUUGGUGGCGUCUUCAUCGAUCUCCCCAUCCGAGCAUGGCUGCGAUCGGAGAGCUUGCCUGCACCUACGCCGCGCUCAUCCUCCACGAAGAUGGCAUCCCAAUCACGGUAAUCGGUCCUCUUCUCCUCCUCUUUCUCUCUCUCUCUCUCUCUCUCUCUCUCUUUUAAUCUCUUUUUUUUUUAAAAAAAAACAAACUUUACUUGACUUGGAUCUGGAACGUUAAGCAGGCGGAGAAGAUCGCGACCAUUGUGAAGGCGUCGAACUUGAAGAUCGAUUCGUACUGGCCCGCGCUCUUCGCCAAGCUCCUUCAGAAGAGGAACAUCGACGAUCUCAUCUUGAGCGUCGGAUCUGGUUCUCUAUCUCCUACUACUACUUAUUCUACUACUACUCUCUCUUACCCUUCUUCUUCUUUUUUCUCUCUGUUUAUUGUUUGGCUUUCUUCAUGUAUUUACGCUUUUGCUGAUGGUUUUGCAGGCGGAGGCGGCGCUGCAGUUGCCGUUUCCGCUGCUCCGGCCGGCGGUGCUGGUGCCGCCGCUGCUCCUGCUGCCGCCCCUGCGGCCGAGGAGAAGAAGGUUGCCUUUGGUUUUUUUUCUUUUUUUUUUUUUUUUUCAACUCUUACUUCUGAUUUUUUUUUUUUUAUAUAUAUUUUGUUUUAUUUAUUUAUUUAUUUAUUGUUGGUUUCUUUUCCGCAGGAGGAGCCCAAGGAAGAGAGCGACGACGAUAUGGGCUUCAGCUUGUUUGAUUAGGGAGAGGAGGAGAAGAAGAGAGAAUUGUAGCUCUAAGAUUUUUUCCUUUCUUUUUUCUAUUAUCAGUCUUACGUAAGGUAAGAUACUGGUGCGCUUUUUUCCUUCUGUGUCCCUUAUCUUAGAUAUCAAACGGUUGUAUGGUAUGGUUUUUCUCGUUGAGAUUUUGAUACCCUUAUCAAAUCAUCAUCAUCAUAUGCUUUAUUUUGCAGUUUUGAAGUGACAAUCUGUUGAGCUUUAAGCUAUAUUGGGAUGCUGUCUUACUUUUGUUCCUUUAUUAUUAUUAUUAUUAUUCUUGAUUAUGGUAGAUCGCUAGAAAUUGGAUUGUAUUUUUCAUUGUUGAGGAUUGCGAGCGAAACUACAGAGCUGAAACUAGAAUCGAUCAAAAGCCGAUCCGUGUUCGUCAAAACAUAAAAUUCAAUUGAAUACAUCAAAUUGUUGUGAAAUUAAGUGUUACUCUGAUUCUAUCAAUCCAGCUAUGGCUAGUAGUAGCAAAUCUGUCUUUAGUAUUUUUCAUAUUGACUCGUGCCAACAGUUUCGUUUUAUAAUUCCUUGUUAAUUAUGACAAACAGCGCCGACUUCUUUGGUUCCACGAUCAUUUUGCCUUGCUAUAUUAGGGCGGUCAUUUUGUUACAAACUCACAGAUGUGAUGCUUUGGAUUCUUAAACCUGUCGGAAUUUUCCUUUAUUUGCUAGAAUGGGGACGGUGCCAUGUAUGUCCUUAAACAUUAAAUUAAAUGGGUCAUCAAAGGACAGUGCUCGGAAGGGAAUGUAUAACUAGUUUGAAGGCAUUUCCUAUUUUACGAUUUUGUUUUGCGUGCCGCAAUAUUUUGGUUUGUUCCCUUUUAUUAUAGUUGCGGAAUUAUAUUGCAAAAGCUUUUUACUACAAAACUCGUUGUUUAGCACAUUUGCAUUUCACUGCCCUGUGGUUACAUUUGUUGCAUACCCUGUGGUCAGUAUUCAGUUAUGCUUCAAGGAUCUUCUUUUAAUGGCUUGUUAGAAUUAGCUUGCUUGGAUAAUGAGGUGGUCGCAAUUUCGACCAUGCGCAUGUAUUUGAAGUUGUUUUGUGACCCUUACAUGCCAUUUUCAAAUGUGCCGCUUCCACGAGGUCCGUCCUUAAUUAUGCCACCCUAAAACAGUUUAAAGCUAAGAAUUAGUUAGGUGCAACAAAUAAAACCAUAAGGAGGUAGUGAAAUGCAAGUGCUCUGAAGCCACAAGAGCAGUAUUUAAAAUUCUUACUGCUUAUCAGUAAUACAUGGUUGCAGUUAUAAACCUCUGUUCUAAACAGUUGUUGGCUUUUGUAAUUGUAAGAAGGGUUUGCAAGGGCCUGUUUUGCAAAUGUAAAUCAUCAUAAUCAUUAUUAUUAUUUUCUGUGACAUUUAAAUACAGCUAGCUAGGAUUGUUGUUGUUAUUAGGAGGGGGCGAUAUCAAGUUAUUUUUGCAUUCUUAGUCACUUUUGUCUUCCGGUUUUGCUUAGAUUAGAAGAAGUUUGGUUUCAUGUCGGGUUCUGGUUUGCUUAUAUGUUUCUAAUCAUCUAGGUUUAUUGUCAUUCAGUUAUCAGGUUCUUUGUGUUCUGGGACAUGUAUUUUGGGCUUACUAUUGUAUAGUUACAAGUUAUUUUUUUCCUUAUAUUUGAUGUUCAAUGUAGAUCUGAGCUUACUAUUGUAUAGUUAUACUGGAUGUCCAAAUUGGUCGCAUUUUGCAUCUGCAUCAACAGUGGCUAAUGAGGAUAUUUUACGUCAGGGGGUUAAUUGCUGUAUCCAAUUAUUACUUUUUGAAGAAAGCUAAAUAAUAUAUUUCGAGAAAGGGUUUCUGUACAUCUCUAUGCAUUGUGGAUCGUUCUACUAUUUUAUGUAUAAAUUGAGAAAAUUUAAAAAUUUCAUUUUUUGCUGUAUGUAAUCAAAUUAAACAAUUUGUAGCAACCGUAUAACUUGUAGGUGAUAUAAGUAUCUAGGGUUCAGCUCAAGAAUUUCUUGCUUUAAGAGCAUUAGGGUAUUUAGGUUUUACGAGUUUUGGAGAGGUUUUACCUUAUUCUCGAAAGGUCCUAGUGACCCUUGAUUUUUCCUAAAACUAUUUUCCAUGAAUCCCCAAGAUUGAUGAGUAUUUAAACUUGAUUUUGAGUACAUUGGUUUUCUUGGGCAUUUUAAGUGGACUCUUUGGAGGUUUUGUUGGUCGUAUUGGAAAAUUGUCGACUUUGUUUUUGAAUGUUUGUUUUGCGGAAUUGAUCGCAGGUUCUUGUUUUCUCAAACUCCCUCUUGAAUUGGUGAUUCAAGUUGGCACUGCUGGAAAAGUCGUAUGGGACUUGGUUUUGGAACCAGAGAUGUUGUUCUUGAACCAUCCAGUGUAGCAGUGCAGGUAGAGAGUACUGGUUAUGUGAAACUUGAUGAUAGGUUCCGAGACCUGGUUAUCCUUUCAGAACCUCAGCACCAAGUUCUGGAACUCAGCCUCCAAAUCCUUGAAACUUUAGUUUGGGUGGAUUCUUUGGUCGGAAUUUGCACCCUAGAGUCAGUCGUGUAUGACUUGUGUGUUCUCCUUUGGACGGGGUGAGGGUGAGGAGCUGAGCAUAAGCUGUAGACAUCCCAUGAAUAUUGUGAGGUUGGUGCACUCUCUGAAUUGGGUUUAGCAACACCCGGUUUGCUUAACCUUGCCUAUCUACCCCUUGAUAUUAAUUAUUGUGGUCUCAGUAUGGUUGUUCUUUGAGUUUUGCAUACCUAUGUAUUAAUAGUAUCUUUUCAUGCCUAUGCUUCAUGCUUGUAUAUUAAGUACUUGUCGUCGGCUCGGCAACUCUUCCUUUAACAUUUCGUUAAAUUAUAUAAAAAAAUUUUAGAUACCUCACUUAGGUUUAUCGAAUAUUCACUUUAGUAUUUUUUAGUUUUAAUUUUGUCACUAAUUUAAUAAAAAAAAUUAGUGGAGGGAAUAAUAAAAAGAGAAAAAUAAAAUCAUGAGGUACUAAAUUGAUACGCUUUAAACUAUAUGAUAUUAAAAUAAAAAAGUACAAAAUUAUAUGGAUGGUAUUUGAACUUUUUCAAAAAAUAUAUAUAUACAUAUUUUUUAUUUUAUUCAUUUUAUGCAUUAAUAAGCUACGACUCAUCAAUUUAGUAAUAAGGAUGUUACAUGAUGACAUGCCAGACUUAAUAUUAAAAAUACCGAAUGCUUAAAAAGAGACAACAGAUAUUAUCCGCGAGAUAAAGAUAGUUGUAGGUGUGAAGGACAAUACUAAAGGCCUGUUUGGUUUAUGAUUUGUAAUAUUUCGAUGACCCCUGAUAUUUUAUAUUGAAAAUAUUUAAAUUAUCACCAUUUAAUUCAAAUUAGAUAGUUGCAAAAGAUAGUAACAAGGUAGUAUAUUCAUUAAAAAUUUCUAGUUGGUACUAGAUUAUCAUAACUUAUGAGGCAUUUUCAUAUCCGUAUUUCAUGAAAAUUAUUAGUAGAUUAUUAAUAAUAAUAAUAUAUUAGUUCUUGAUGAUCCGUCCAUUAAUUUUAAAAGGUAGUAAUAAAUUUGUCAUUUCAAAUAUAAAAUAUACAGUAUUUUCAAUACAUUAAAAUACUUGAAUCAAAUUUCCCCAAAGGUUAGUGAGAUUGGGCCUGACAUAAUGGACAUACAUAUGGUACAAGAAAUUAGGGACAGAAGUGAAAAACUAGGUAAAGAUUAGAUACCAAUGAUGCUAUGAGUUCUGCAGGUCAAUAAUCGAAUUGAUAAAACAAGAAAAAAAAAUGGUAAAAAUCUUAACGUAAAAUUGGGUAAAAGUUAGUGCUCACUGAAGUAAUUUACCACUGAAUUUAAUGAUUCUCCUAAAAUUUGAACUUAUUCGAAACAAUAUCAAAAUGUGUAGAAAUAAAUAACGUAAUUCUUUUAAAAGGCUUUUUUUUUUUUUUUUUUUUUUUUUUUUUCUCAAAUUAGGUUUGUUGAAAUUUUAAUUUGUUAAAAUAAGCUUGUGAAACUCUUAUUUCUAAAAAUAAACCUAAACUAGCGGCAUGUGCACUAGUGAAAUGCAAGUGCUCUGAAGCCACAAGAGCAGUAUUUAAAAUUUUGCCCUUAUAUACAAGAAAGCUCUGUUAGUCGCACCAUCAGUACUGAUUGUCAGUAAAACGUGGUUGCAGUUAUAAACCUCUGUUCUAAACAGUUGUUGGCUUUUGUAAUUGUAAGAAGGGUUUGCAAGGACCUGUUUUGCAAAUGUAAAUCAUCAUAAUCAUUAUUAUUAUUUUCUGUGACAUUUAAAUACAGCUAGCUAGGAUUGUUGUUGUUAUUAGGAGGGGGCGAUAUCAAGUUAUUUUUGCAUUCUUAGUCACUUUUGUCUUCCGGUUUUGCUUAGAUUAGAAGAAGUUUGGUUUCAUGUCGGGUUCUGGUUUGCUUAUAUGUUUCUAAUCAUCUAGGUUUAUUGUCAUUCAGUUAUCAGAGGUUCUUGGCUGUGUCCCUUGUUGGGUUUAGAUUAAGAACUUGCGAGGAAUUUUGAGCAAUAAUUCCUCAUACCAUCCAUCUUCAUAGGUUCAUUCAUUUGCAGAGGGACGAUGUAAGUCCGUGUGUCAGUUAAUUUGAAUGCUCAGAGAUUUAUACUGCAUGCGGAUGGAUGAUCUUACUGCAGUUGGUAGCUCUGCAGUUCAUUUGAAUAAGUAAAAUUUCUGAAGUUUGGUUGUGUUUUCUCUCUGUUAUCUUACUUUACUUCUCUCUCUCUCUCUCUCUCUCUCUCUCUCUCCAGCUUUAGAGGGGGUAAUUGUUUGUCCAAAGUUGAUGCUGAUGGUGAGUUUUGUUUCUGAAGUUUUAUUGUACUUUCUUAAUUCAUCUUAUGCGGACGGUGCUUGGCCCAAUCUGCAACUGCAGAAUCACAUUUAGGAAGAGCUGCGCGCUUGCAGCUUUCCCCAACAUUUAUGUGGUGCCGCCUGCUGUUUGAGCCGCACUGCUCCGCCAAAUCAGGCAAUUGGAGUUUUGAAUGUGUUGUUUGUAUUUGAUCUACGUAUUACCGACAUUUUUAUAAAAUUCGCUUGUCCGUGUCGAACACGCACGUGUCUGUGUCAAACUUAUGUCCGAUAUGGACACUCUUUGGAUGCACGUGUCUGUGUCGGACUCAUGUCUGACGUGGACACUCCUUGGACGCGCAUUUAAUAUCGAUUUAUAGCGCAUAUAUUAAAAAGGGUUAAAUGCAUACAGGUCUCUGCAAACAUAGUCAAUUGCGGAAAUAUCCUUGCAAAACGGAAACUCCAUAAGUUAUCCCUGCAAAAGUCUAAAGUUAUGCAGAUAUGUCCCUGCCGUUAAGGACUGUUAGAAAAUUUUCGUUAACCACGGUUAAAAUACUUAACCAUGGUUAAUUAUAACGUAAAUUUACGAUUCUACCCUUCUUCUUCUUCCCCCUCAUCUUCUUCCCUCUUCUUCGUCGCCGGCGAGGGCGGCGGCGGCGGUGGCGGCGGCGGCAGCGACGACGGCGGCGACGGCGAACCCUCUCUCUUUCUUUUCCUCCUUCUUCCUCUCCCUCUUCCCUUUUCUCCCUUCUUCUUCCUCUCCCUCUUCCUCUUCCCUCUUCUUCAUCGCCGGCGAGGGAGAAGAUGCGACGGCGGCGGCGAACCCUCUCCCUCUCCCUCUUCUUCUUCCUCUCCCUCUUUCUUUUCCUCUUCUUCUUCCUCUUCCCUCUUCUUCGUCGCCGGCGAGAGAGGAGAUGCGGCGGCGGCACGCGGCGACGAACCCUUUCCCUCUUCAUCUUUCUUUUCCCUCUUCCUCUCCCUCUUCCUCUCCUUCUUCCUUUUCCCUUUUUUUCCUCCUCUCAUUCUUUCUCUUCCCUCUUCUUUGUCGCCGGCGAGCUCGACUCGCGCCGUCGCCGCCAUCCGCUCCGGCGGCCCGAAGAGGAAGAGGAAGAGAAAGAGAGGGGGAAGAUGCUUUUGGAGGGAUAUAUUUGUGAGGGCAAAAUAGUCAUUUCACAUGAAAACUGUUAAAAAAUAAACAGUUCUCUAACAGAUGUUAAUCAGAGGGACAUAUUUGCAUAAAUUAGGACUUUUGCAGGGACAGCUUAUGUAGUUUCCGUUUUGCAGGGAUAUUUCUGCAAUUCACUAUGUUUGCAGGGACGUGUAUGCAAAUAACCCUAUUAAAAAAAUAGAGUAAACUUCAAAUACCACCUUUGUGGUUUUAUAUUUUUCACUAUAGUACCCUAUAGUUUAAAAUGUAUCAAUUUAGUAUCCCGUAGUUUCAUUUUUCUCUUUUCAUCACCUCGGUAGCUCUUCCGUUAACAUUUCGUUAAAUUAUAUAAAAGAAAUUUUAGAUACUCCACUUAGAUUUAUCGAAUAUUCACUUUAGUAUCUUUUAGUUUUAACUUUGUCACUAAUUUAACGAAAAAAAAUUAGUGGAGGGGAUAAUAAAAAGAGUAAAAUAAAAUCACAUGAUACUAAAUUGAUACACUUUAAAUAUUUUAUUUUAUUUAUUUUAUGCAUGUAUAAUGUAAGAUGAUAAAUAUUUUAGUUUUUUGAUUCAUAUUUUUUUGGGUAAUAUAAAUAAAUUAUGUUUAGUGAGAAAUUUUUUUCUUAAAAUAUAUGAAUUAUCAAUAAAAAUUUUAGUAAUUUUCAUUCAUACGAAAAAUAUAAUAAUAUUUUACUAAAAUUUAUAUUUUAUAUAUAAUAAAUAAUAUAAGGAGUGUUGCUUCAACAAUCGUAGUCAAUGUGAUUAACUUUACAUCUGGGAUUAUUUUUAUAUCUGAGAUUAUUUUUUAUACCCAUGUAUAAGAUAAAAAAAGGAUUAAUUUUAUAUAGCUCGCUAAAAAUAUAGUGAAUUAUAAAUAUAUCCCUACAAAGUUCAACUUUUAUAUGUUGUUCCUAAAAAAGUCUUGAUAUUUUCAAAUAUAUUCCUGCCGUUAGGAUCUGUUAGAAAAAAUUAGUUAAUCAUAGGUAAAAUACUUAAUCUUAGUUAGUUAAUGAGGUGAAUUGAAUUUUUAAUCCCUCUUUAAUUAAUAGUUGGGACUUUUGGAGAUAUAUAUUUGUGAUGCCGAAUAGGUCAUUCACUUAUAAAAUAAAUAGUGUUUUAAUAGUAACAGACCAGAGUGACAUAUUUUAAAAUAUUAGGACUUUCACAAAAACAAUAUAUAAAAAUUAAACUUUGUAGAGCUAUAUUUGCAAUUUACUAUAUUUGCAGGGACCUGUAUGAAAUUAACCCAAAACUGAAAAAAAAUUAUUGUUUUCAAUUAGUGAGUUUAACUUUACAUCUGGGGUAUUUUUUCUAUUCAUAAUUUUUAUUUUUUUCCAAUAAGAAGUUUCUAUACGUUAUGGAUCUCUACAUGUUAUGGAUCGUUUUACUAUUCUAUAUGUGAAUUGUUAAAUUUUAAAAAAAUUAUUUCCUAAUUCUACAUUAUGAAUAAAAAAACAGAUAAGAAUAGAGUAAGAUGUUGGUGGUAUAAAAUAUACAAAUGUUGUUUACAUUCUUUAGUACAACAUCAAAGGUGAUGUCUUAAAUAAUUUCGAAAAAUAAACAAAUCUAAAUUAUAACAUUUGCUCUUAACUUUAAUCUUUGAAUUUAUUUUUAAAGUUGAACUAUAUUUUAAAUUUGAUUUGAAAUCAUGAAUUUAAUUUCACAUCAAGAAUUUUAUUUAUAAAUUCAAAUUCAACAAAAAUUUUUAAAUUCAUAUUUAUAAAUUUCAACCAACCUAAUUAGACAAAAAAAAAAUUAAUACAGAGGAUAAAUAAGACACUGGCUAGCAUACUAGCGUUUUUUUUUUUAUAAAAUGUACAGAAACUUUCUAAACUUUAGCACUUUUAAAAAUAGGCAUCUCAAUUUUCAAUUAUGACAAUUAUAUGUAAACUUUAUCAAAUAGUUCAAGGCCAAUUAGCAUAAAAAAUCCACAAGUUUUAAGUUUUUACAAAACUGGGCCACCUUUUUCAAUUUUGCAGAUUCGGUCUGAAUUUUCAGCGAACUGAUCAAAAGACCCUUAUACCUUUUUCUCUCUCCUCUUUUUUUCUUUUUUCUUUUUUUUCCCUCUCCGAAGAAGGCGGCAAAGGUGGAGGCGGAAACAGCCCGCCUCACCUAUGCCCCUCACGCCCUCGUCCUCGCCCACGCACGCCCCUCCCUCCUCGCUUCCGACCCCGUCGAAGCCGCGCCGCGACCUUUUUUUAUUUUUUAUUUUUCUCUCCGACCCUCCUCGACCCGCAGUUCCCACUGCCGCCGCUGGUGACAAAGAGGAAGUGCUUCUCGGGGUCCAGAAGCACAUCGGCGAGAGAGGGGGAGAAAAAUAGUUACACUCCGACGAGAAAAAGAAAAUAAGAAUAAUAAAAAAUAAAAAAAUUUCUACAGAAAAGAUAAAAAAUCAUAGAAGAAUGAAGAAGAAAUGAAAUUGCACUGUUAAAAAAAAAUUACACUGUUUUAAAAAAAAUUUGCACUGUUUUAGAUAAAAUUGCACUCUUUGAAAUAGAAAUUACACUAUUUUGAAAUAAAGAGUUACACUCUUUAGACGAAUGUUGCACUAUUUGGAUGAAAUUUACACCAUUUCUCCUUUCCCACAUCUUUCUCCUUCUUCCUCCUCCUUACACGAUUUCUCUUUCCACCCUAGUUAGAGCCGCGAGGCCCUCGACCCCGCCGACCGCCUCACCGUGCUCCGCCUGGCCCUCGACGCCGCCGACACCGACUCGGCCAGGACCCCGAUCGCGGAGGAGAUGGAGAGCGUGACGCGGCAAGGAGAUGGUUCGAAAAAGGAGCGGCUGCUGGUGGUGCGCGAUCGCAGACUCGCUAGUGGCGGGCGCUGAGGAGGUCUUGGCCGCUGCCGAGGUCCUCCUCGCCGCCUUGUCCUCCUCCUCCUCCUCCCGCCCCGACUUCUACGCCCUCAACGGCCUUCCCGUCUUCGCCUGUGGCGACUCCUCCUCCCUCUGCCUCCACUACCGUCGCCUCGCCCUCCUCCUCCGCUCCCUUCACUCCCCCCCGGCCGCCGAGGCCUGCUGCCUCGUCGUGCUCCGGCGACGCUGACGUUGUUGGUGAUGCAGAACCCGUUCCUGGUGCGGUCAGAGGCGGGGCUGGCGACGCGGAGUUCCUCUCCCUCUCCGACCUCCGCCGCCUCCCCGCCUUCGGUAGGGCCGUCACCACCCUUUUCCAAACCACCGGCCACCCCCCCUCCGACCUCGGCACCGUCAACCACACCUCCCUCAAUUCCUCCUCUGUUGUCCUCGUUCGCUCCCCGACGCCCUUCUCUCCCUCCUCCGCCAACUCCAACGCCACCGUACUAGGCCUCGUCACCUCCCUCCCCUACGACGUUAGCGUCUUUGUUGUUGACGCCCUCCUCGUCCUCUACAACUUUAACCUCGCCGCGUCCAAUACCCGCCCCCCCAUCGACGUCAACAUCACACGGGUGCUCGUCGAGGCGCACGGGUUCAACGUCGCCGCAUCCAUGCUNCCCCCCCGUCGGCGUCAACAUCACGCGGGUGCUCGUCGAGGCGCGCGGGUUCAACGUCGCCCCGUCCAUGCUCAAGCGCCAGCGCCGGCAGAGAAGGGGGGCAGUGGCGCGAGAGGUGCUUGACGGUGACGGUGACGGCGACGGAAAAGGUGGAGGAGGAAGAAGAAGAGAGUAAGAAAUCGUGUCCAAAUAGUGCAAUACUAGUCUAAAGAGUGUAACUCAUCAUUCCAAAGAGUGUAAUUUUUAUUUCAAAUAGUACAAUUUUAUCUAAAACAGUGCAAAUUUUUUUAACAGUGUAAUUUUAUUUUAACAGUGCAAUUUCAUAUUCUUCAUUCUUCUAUGAUUUUUGGUCUUUUCUAUAGAAAUUUUUUUUUAUUUUUUAUUAUUCUUUUUUUUUUCUCGCCGAAGUGUAACUAUUUUUCUCCCCCUCCCUCGCCGGCGUGCUUUUGGACCCCUAAAAGCACUUUCUUUUUGUCGCCGGUGGCGGUAGUGGGGUCCGCGGGUUGAGGAGGGUCGGAGAGAAAAAAAAAAAAAAGAGUCGCGGUGCGGUUUCGACGGAGUCGGAAGCAAGGAGGGCGGGGGGUGCGCGGGCGAGGGCGAGAGCGUGAGGGGCAGAGGCGAGGCAGGCCGUUUCCACCUUCGUCUCCGCCGCCUUCUUCGGUGAGGGGAAAAAAAAAACGAAAGAAAAAAAGAGAAGAAAGAAAAAGGUAUAAGAAUAUUUUGGUUAGUUCGCUGAAAAUUCGGACCGAAUCUUCAAAAUUGAAAAAACUCGCUCAGUUUUAUAAAAGCUCAAAACUUGUGGAUUUUUUAUGCAAAUUGGCCAGUGUUCAAUAUGCCAUUUACCUUAAUUAAAGUUAUUUAUUACACAAUUAUUGUAGUGGUAUAUAUUGUACAUAAUUUUAUAAAGGUUUAAAAUAUAAAUAAAUUUUAAGUUUGCAUUCUAACAUGUUAAAAAAAAGCGAUGAAAAUUAAAAUUUGGUUCAACCUAUUCUUCACUUGUCGCGCUUUAUUAUCGAAACUGGAAGAGAAAAAAUAAUUCUGUUUGUGAUAAUAAGUUCACUAGAGGAUUGUGUAAUUCACUAAAAGGAAAGGGUCUAUUGAACCUUUUGAUAAAAUUUAAAAAAUAUAAUUAUUAAAAUAAGGAAAAACUUCAAAUAACCCCCUCGUGGUUUCGCACUUUCUCACUUUAGUACUAUGUGGUUUAAAGUGUAUCAAGUUAGUACCCUGUGGUUUCGCACUUUCUCAUUUUAGUACCCUGUGGUUUCAAAUGUAUCGUGGUUUUAUUUUUGUAUCAAGUUAGUAUCUUAUAGUUUCAAUUUUCUCUUUUUAUUAUCCAUUUCGGAGUAUAUAAUUUAACGAAAUAUUAAACCACAUGAUACUAAAGUGAGAAAGUGCGAAGCCACAAGGUACUAAAGUGAGAAAGUGCGAAACUGUAGGGUACUAACUUGAUAAACUUUAAACUAUAUGAUACUAAAGUGAGAAAGUACGAAACCACAGGUGAUAUUUGAAGUUUCCCCUAAAAUUAAAAAAUGCAGGC
rnacentral:lncRNA from 1 species